UGGACGGUACGCGCGAGGCACGGUGGUGCCGGUGGUCAGCCCACCCUGCAGGUUCGGCGAGAUGGUGGCAGACGUGACCCAGAAGAGAGAGGAGUUUGCCAAGGCGGAAGUGGCCUUCUGAUUGCUGCGAGGUACACCGCUGCUGAAUCGUACGUGGUAAUUUUUCUACUCCUUCUCUUCCUACCACCACCUAUCACCUAUGUAUGCAUUUUAAGUCGUGUGUUAUUUGUAUCCAAUAAUGUAAGUGAGAUGUUUACACGCGCAUAUCUAUCUUGUAUACUCGGUCUCUGAAAGGCAUGGCAGAUCAGGAUAGUGUGCAAAGGAACAGCAAGUGUUGUUGCAGGUGUAUGUGUUUUGUUUUUUGUUUUUUUUGUGCGGGGGUUGAAGGUGUAUGUGUUGGGAAUAAGAUUAUUUUUGUUCACAAAUACGAUGUCUAAUCGGUGUCGUAUUCGUACCCGAGUACGUUUGUCCCGUUCUCAAGUUGGUCGCUAUGUCUGACGGGCGAUGCAUGUUGCUUUUGACCACGGAAUCCGCCCAUGGCUCGACAAGCUCCGUUAACGGCAAGUAAAGGCAAGUCAACACAAGGUAAAGAUGGUCGACAAUAGUUCAAGAAAGCUCCUGUGGGUCCGAGCAAGACACCCCACUCAAUAAAAUCUAAUCAAGCCUUCAUGGUCAACAAGUUUAAAAAAAAAGACCAUGUAAAAGAAUAAGUCAAAGAUCAACACACAUAAAAAAAGGAGCAAAGAAACUCAAACCCAAACAAUAAGAUUUUUGUAUGGCGCAGAAAUCUCUCCUUAAAUGGGCCUCCACCCCCUCCUACCACAUGGGCUAAAACAUUUAAAAUACUUCCUCCGUCUCAAAAUAACUGUCUCAAUUUUGUACUAGCUCUAGUACAAAAUUGUACUAAGCUUGAGACACUUAUAUUAGGACAGAGGGAGUAUGUAGUAUCAAUACAGUCCAUAUGUGCAUCCUCCUUCUAAUACCAAGUCCUUACUCUCGUGGAGCUGAUUCAUGGACGCGGCUAUGUAUCGCCUAUAGUGAUACCUUAUUUAGGGGUGCUUAUAUCUUUUUUCAGCAUAGUAUAAUUAAAGUCGCUCACAUACAUAAAUAUAUAAUUAUUCAUAUAAAUGUACACGCAAACUCUAUCUCUGUGAGCACUUUCGAGAAACCGACCGACACAUCAUCUUGAGAUUGACGAAGUCGUCACAGACACUUUCGUAGUCGACGGGAACGUCUUCUUUCACUAAACGCACAUCACAUGAAGGCCUGAAAUAAAUCUAGGAGAAUGCAAGCAUAAAUAUCAAGCUUGCGACUUGAACUCACGUAGACAGGGGGUACCACCAUUCUUCUAACCAUCCAAACACAGGUUCGUUCACGCCUAUAAUGAUACCUAGCGCAGUGUCGUUAGUGUGGCCUAGUUGGGUUGGCCCAGGAUGUUGGAGAACCACUGGAUCUCCAACACACAUUUUUGCUUUUCAUUUUUAUCACUUUUACUUAUAUUUUUAAUAUGGGAAAAUAUUUAUGUUUUAUAUAUGUACACCACACGUUCCAAAAAAAGUUAUCAUAGUGUAAAAAAAUGUUUGGGCAACUUUGAAAAAAAUAUCUAAAAUAAAAAAUGCCCAUGACAUUUUUUAAAAUUUUCAGAAAAUGUACAUAACAUUUCAAUAAAAGUAUUUAUGCAAUUCAAAAACUGUUUGUAUAAAUAUAAUAAAAAUGUUCAUACCAUUCAAGAAAUAUACGUGAAAUUUUAAAGAAUAAUUCUUGUGUUUCAAAUAGGAUCAUAACAUUUUUUCAAAGGUUCACAUAGUUUGACCAAAAUAUUUUCCAGCCAUUAAAAGAUGUACAAUGUGCGUUUGAAAAAAUGCUUAAACAUGUAUGAAAAAAUGUUCAAUAUAUGUAUUUGCAAAAAGGUACAUUCAUGUAUUGAAAAUGUUCAACAUGUGUCAAUUUGUUUUUCAUGUCUAUACUAAAAAUAUACAAUGAAUACUGAAAAGUGGGCAUGUGUUGGAAAAAAGAAAAACUCAAAGUAAACAAAAACAUAUGUGUUUGAAAAAGGUUAAACGUGUGUAAAAAACUGUUUCUAAUGUGUACGAAAAAUACACAAUGUGUAUGAUAAAAGUUGACAUAAAAACAUAUAUUUCAAAAAAGUGUUAAUCAUGCAUCCAAAAACCAUUAAAUGUGUAUAUAUUUUCCCUGUUGUAUACGAAAAAUGUAUAACCAGUAUGAAAAAAUAUAGACAUCAAAAAUAUAUUUAUAAAAAAAUUAAUCAUAUAUUUAAUAAAUUUAGAAAAUAUUCCUACAGCAUACUAAAAACAAACAAUAUGGUUGAAAAGUAGACGUGUGUUGAAAAAACCCCAAUGAAAACAGAUGAAAACUAAAAAAGAAAAAAAGAAAAAAGAAAAAAGAAAAAUCAAAGAAACUAAUGUAAAACACUGAAACAAGAAAAGACUGAACUAAGAAAAGAACAAAGAAAUCAAAGAAAAAAAUGGAAAACAAUGGAACACUGCGAAUAACCUAGAAAGCCUAUUUGGAUGUCGCGCAACAGAUGGACACAUGAGAAGGAGCGGAUUGACCCGGUUAUGUCAAUCAGAAAAGUUAGGGAGGAUCUGGCGCUUCUAGAUUUGCCUCGUGAGCAGGCCCUGGGGCUACCCCGGGUUUGGCUGGGAGCCUCCGAAUGUAUUGCAUGUCAAAAUAAACACGGACGCUGCAAUCCACUUUGAUGAUGGCAAUGUCGGUGCUCGCGGUGUUGCUCGUUCUGCAUUGGGAUUCAAGGGUGCUUGAUGUAAGCCUUUUGCGGGUGUUACAGACCCACUCAUCGCUGAAACUCUCUCUCUCUCUCUCUGAAGGAAGGCGUCAUUUUUGCCACACUUUGAGGCUACACGCACGUGAUCAUGGAAAUCGACUGUCUAGAGGCAGUUAACCUCUGGAAUUCUCGCCACACCGAUCGCUCGAUGGUGGCACCAAUUCUCACAGAAAUUGGAGAGCUAGCUCUUAGUUUUACAUCAUUUUGUAUUCAACAUGUAAUAAGAUCAGCAAAUGGUCCUGCACAUCUUUGUGCUAAGCGUGCUUGUACGCUUAAUGUGACCGACAGCUGGUUAGACUCUAUCCCUAGCUUCUUGAUCAUCAGCCUCUUGAUUGAUUGCUCAGCGAAUGCAUUUGUUGAAUAAAGCUUUCAGAAAUUCCCCGUAAAAAAAACUAAAGAAAAACUGAAGAAACGGAUGUCGCCUUGUUUGUUUUUCAUGUACUUAAUGCACCAGGCGGUCCAUUCCUUGUAUGGAUUGGUGAACCCCGUCCCUCCACCCCAUCCCCACUAAUCCGUGCUGCUAACCCCUUCCGUAGAAACCUCCCGCUACAAAUGUGUUUAGUUCUGUCGCCUUGCUCGAGAGAGAUGAAAAUUGCUCUUCACUCGGGAUUCCUUCCAUGGGGGUGCUAGAGGGUGAUUUUGUUCCUCGUGGAUCUAGAGAGAUUUGGUCUAGAGAAGACCACACAUGGCUUAAAUGGACGCAUAAAGGUGAAUUGGCUAGGUUUAUUUCCUAGUGGGGGUAAAUCCACAUUGACUCCCAUAAAUUGGACUCAAAACCAUAUGGUGGUGGGAGUAACCGAACGAGGCCUUAAGGGACCGAUAAGUUAUAUUUUUACUUUCUUCAUGUUAUUUAUGGUUUGAAUUGGCCUUUUCUAAAGCAUUACGCCCACUCAUAUGGUGAGUUGUUCAAAAAAAUUAAACAUGUGUUUAAUCUUUUUUAAGUGAAAAUUGAAAAAGGCUAAAGCAUUAUUAAAGAGCUAGCCAUGGAUAGAAAUGCGUGAAAGCUAGCUAUCAACGUAAGAAUCAUGGGUCAACUACGAGAUCUUAUCCGUUUCAGCUCUAGCGGACUCUAACUUAUUUUUGAAUACAUCCUUUGUUGAUGUUGUUGUAUUCUAAACCGAAAGCAAGUAUUACGGGAGAUCGAUUUGCAACCAAACCAAACUCAUAAUAAAUCCUCUUUUCCACGUUUUCGGAGCACCCAAGUUUUUGUGAGCAUUAUACUCCCUCGGUCCUUUUUAGUUUGCAUAUAAGUUUUGUUUAAAGUCAAAGUAUCUCUACUUUGAUCAAACUUAUAGAAAAAAUUAUCAACAUUCACCAUACCAAAUCAAUAUUGCUAGAUUCUUUACGAAAUGUAGUUUCAUAGCGUAUAUAUCUAGUAUUGUAGAUAUUGGUAUUCUUUAAAAUAAAUUUGAUUAAACUUUGUAAAAUUUAUCUUAGAUCAAAAUCUAAUACGCGGACUAAAAAGGACCUGAGGGAGUACAUGCAGUUGUUAGUUCAAAAAGGAGGAUAGAAUAACAAGAACCACGCCGGAUGGCCCACGUGUCAGCGGCCCGUGCUAAAAGACCACCCCUUAUCCCCUCUUCCACCGUCCCCUGCUGCUUGGCCCUGUGCCGCUCCACAUCACCCCGAGCUUCGUGUCCCCCUCGCUCGCAGCCUCGCAGCACCGCGCGGCCGGCCGGGCGCCAUGGCGCACUCCUGCCUCUCCGCGGCGCGCACGGCGGCGGCGCUGCGCCUCCCGCUCCAGGCCGACCACGCCGCGUCCGUGUUCCCCCGCCCGGCGCGCGCGUCGUCGUCCCGUCUGCGGCUCAUUGUCGCCGCACCCGUCCUGCCGGUGCCGCGGACGAGCAGGCGCGCGCUCCCCGUCGUUGCCAUGGCGUCGCAGGAGGAGGCCACGGCCGUCGAGGAGGCGCAGGAGGAAGCCGUACAGGAAGCCACGGCGCAGCUGGAAGAGGAUGAGCCAGCAGGGGAGGUCGAGGAGCAGCAGACGGAGGAGGAGGAGGAGCAGGGCGCGGCCGCGGAGGCGAUCUCGGACGGCGGCGAGGAGGCCGGCGGUGAUGGUAGCACUGGCACCGGGAGCAGCGCCACCAAGCUCUACUUCGGGAACCUGCCGUACAACUGCGACAGCGCGCUGCUCGCCGGCAUCGUGCAGGACCACGCCGUCCCGGAGAUGGUCGAGGUACGCGCGCGCGCGCACGCUGUUUGAUGAAAUGCAUUGGCCGAUCACUUCUGUCUUGUUCUCAAACGCCUGCAUUUUCGAUUUCAGGUGCUCUACGACCGGACGACGGGGAGGAGCCGGGGCUUCGCCUUCGUGACGAUGAGCACGCUCGAGGACUGCGAGCGUGUCAUCAAGAACCUGGACGGCACCGUGAGAACUCCGCUCAAUCUAUCCACCAUCACCGUGAGAACAUCCUCCAUGGGUUCCUCUCAUGCUCAUGCAUCGAUCGUCCGUUCCAUGUUUCAGCUGUACAGCGGGCGCACGAUGAGGGUGAACAUGGCCGACAGGCCCAAGCCCAAGGCGCCGCUGUACCCGGAGACGGAGCACAAGCUCUUCGUGGGCAACCUGUCGUGGACGGUCACCCCGGAGAUGCUCACCGACGCGUUCCAGCGCUGCGGCAACGUGGUCGGCGCCCGGGUGCUCUACGACGGCGAGACCGGCCGGUCCCGUGGCUACGGCUUCGUCUGCUACUCCACCAAGGAGGAGAUGGACCAGGCCAUCGAGACGCUCAACGGAACGGUAUGAAACAUCUCUCUUCAGUUUGGUACAUGAAAAUUAAGCUGCAGAUGUGCAUGCUCAGAUACAAACUUGUGAAUUGCCAAUAUCCCAGCAGAACUAAAGAAUCUUUGCCAAGAUGAACUUUGUUUUGAUAGCUUGGAUUCUGAUCGGAAAUUAAUUCUUUCACAGCACCAAUGAAAAAAUAACAGAGUUUUCAUGGCACAAUUCAACUUAACUGAAUAAUGACAUGUCUUGCAGGAGAUUGAAGGCAGGGAGAUCAGGGUCAACUUGGCCCUGGGGAAGAGAUACUAGAGAGCUUGAUCGUUUCUUCACAUUGGAGAAAUCGGCGUCAGGCUCGGGGUUUAUGCGAUGCUUCCUCGCAAUGCAAAAUUAUACAGAGCAACAAAUAAACCAUCGAUUGCUCAUGAAAGCACAUUCUGAGAGCAACAAAUAACAUCGUUCUUGCAUCGCUGAUCUGAUAUGUUCACCUGGUGUAUAUUUGGUGACUUCGUUCGUCGAAAUGGAGCGGGGAAAGCCUUAUUUUUCUAGAAGAAAAUUGAUGCGUGUUUAAUUGGGGUUGCUGAUAAUUAUAUACUUUCAUGGUUCCAUGCUCUUGGAACUGCAUUCUUUUAGAUCCUCUUGCAACUCAAUUUUAUGUGUGCUUCACAAAUUAUUGGGAUAAAGAUGAUAGAGUACCUAAUUAAGUGAACGUAUUUGUCCGAGAUGGAUCCAUUACCAUUCUUUCUACUAGCAGUUAUGCCAGUUUCAUGUGAACACUAAGCCGUUGCUUUCUCGGAGAAUCAACUCGAUAUUGCCACAAAACGUCCAGAUUUCAGGCUUAUGCCCAAGUGUGGCCUAAAAUUAGCCCAGAUUUAGGUAGAAAGUGGCAGAAGUUGUCAAAUCUUACAAUUCGGUUCACUUAGAACAUCUCCAACAGCGGUGCUAUGCACGACACGCAAAAAAACAUUUUACAUCGUCGAAAUAGUCGGUUUUUGCGCGGAGCCGAGCGCUGGUUUCAGCGGUCGCUGGAAACUAUGGCACGCGCGAGCCGCUCCACCAUAUGCUGCAAAUAAACGGCGCGCGUGAACAGCAAGCAACAUAUACACUCCAAACAAAACCAAAAAGAUCAAAUACAUAAAAAAUAAUUAAAAAUAAAUAGUCCAAUUUUAUUACAACAUAGACAAAUAGUUUACCUUCCAAUACAACAAAUCAUCAUGCUUUUUGUCGUCCAUUUCAUACCCACCACUCCUCGAUGAGAUCCUUCUGCAAAUCAUCAUGUGUUUCGCUACGUUGAAUGGCAUGAUAGGAGGUAACAAACCGGCCCACCCUCGCAGCCCUCCGUCGCACUUGUACGGAAUGUCCCAAGAGCUCACACUGAGAGUAGUCUAAAUCUUGACCACGUUCAUCGUCAAUGAUCAUGUUACGCAUGAUCACACAAGUGUGCAUGAUGUAUCAAAGAAUUUUUUGAUCCCAAAAUCUAGCCGGUCCUCGCAAUAGCAAAUUGGGCUUGCAAAAUCUCAAAAAUUCUCUCAACAUCUUUUUUAGCCGCUGCCUGAGCAUUGUGGAAAUCAAGAUUUUUCUUACCUUCCUUUUUUUCAACGGCUUCACAAAUGUUUAUCACUUUUGAUAUAUGCCAUCCGCAAGAUAGUAGCCAUAGUUGUAUGUACGAUCAUUUGCUACAAGUUGCACCGAUGACAGUUUACCAUUUGCAAUCUUAUUUUUAAGUGGUGACUGAUUAACAACGUUGAUGUCAUUCAAAGAUCCAGGCAUUUCAAAAAAAAAGACAAAUUCAAGUCUUUUGAUCGACCACCGCUUCAAGGAUUAUAGUGGAAUCAUUUUCUGAUCGUGGAAUUGCCCAUGUCAUGCUUAGGACGGUUCUUCCAACUCCAAUGCAUGCAAUAUAUUGAGCCAAGCAUACCUAAGAACCCGCGAGCUUUGUUCAUCUCCAAUAGCCUUGCGACGUCUUCAACAUUGGGAAAUUUCAAAUACUUCGGGCCAAACACUUGCACAAUUUCGACUGCGAAGCGCUUGACACACAUGAUGGCCUAACUCUCACCCAUGGUCAAGUGAUCAUCAACUAGAUCAGCCGAAACACCUUAUGCCAACAUACACAAAGCGAGUGUCACUUUUUGAAAGGUGUUAUGCCCGAGUUCUCCGGCGGCAUUCCUCCAUUGCUCAAAAAACCGGUCAUGGCUCGCCAGUUUCUCUGCAAUGCGCUUGAACAACUCGGUGCUCAUCCUAAACCGACGCCUGAAGUAGGACUCGGGGUAUGUGGAAUUCUCCACUAAAUAGUGCCUCAUCAAUCUAUUGUGAACAUCGAUUUUAUCCCUCCAAAUUUUAUGCCGACCCAUAACCGAACCAAAGUGCUUCGGCUUUUUAUUGAUAUGCAUAACAAGGAUCAUUGCAAGGUCCUCCUUUUCUUCAAUAUCAAAUUCUUCUUAGACAGAAUCAUAUGAGAACUCAUCUACAAUAUUGAAUUUAAACUAGUCUAUAAAAACUAUAAACAACAUGCAUAAAAUUCAUGUAAAAAUGUGAAGUUAAAGCAAUACAUACCUUGCAAGCGUUCCGUCGAACACCUUGUGGGCGCCGUGAGGCGGUAGGCGGUCGGGCGUUGUUCGUAGGAGGAAUGGCACUCGCGAGGGGCGGCGGCGACUAGAGGGAGAAGGAGGAAGCAGCGGUGUCGUGGGGAUAUUCGGGGGAAGCAUUGUCGGGUUGUCGGGUCGCCGGAGCAAACAGGGUGGUACGGGCGGCGGCGCGAGCGCCUGGAAUGGCGGAAAGUGAAAGUCGCGGCGCGGGCACUCGAGUGUGCAACGCGCGGGAGCGGGUGCACGCAAUAAGUUGCGCACGAUGUCGUUUCGUCCCACGCGCUCAAGCAUUUAUGUCGCGUCGCAUUUUUUAUGCCUCCGUUGGAACGCCUGGAGCAACUGCGCACGCAAAAAUCAUUAUUUUUUCAACGUGGUGCUUAUAUCACACGGCUGUUGAAGAUGCUCUUAGAUCACAAUCCUUCUAUUUAGAUAAAAAAUGAAAUCUCUACAAGAACUUAUAUUUAGGAACGGAGGGAGUAUAAAACUAAGUGAACAUGAUGAAUCAAGACUUUACUCAAUAUACUCCAAAUAAUUUCAUAAUUUCACGAAAUGUAAACUAUUAUUUGUUAAAUUACUCAACACAAUAAUGUUCAUGGCUUGCACAUGCCAUUGUAAUACUAAACUUUUUAACAUAUCAUAUUACAUAAAAGUGCAAAUAAAACAAUAUUCUAAACUACUCGCACAUUAUCAUAUGAUAUUUUAAAAUUUUACUCGGUACCCAAGACAGGCACACAGAGUGGUGAUUCACGGUGAUAUCUCAUCUCAGCAUGUUGACAAUCAUAUCCUGUACGUGGAAGACCUACAGGAUUGGGUGCCAAUUCUGUGAGCUUCAUGGAGUAGACCCAUGGGACAAACAAUGGGCAAUGGAGCCAACCCAAAUUUAGCGACACGAGAUUACUCAUUUUUUUUACUUUAAAAUAUUCUUUUGUACUCCCUCCGUAUGAGUGCUUCAAAUGGUGUAUUCACAUGGUACCCAUGGUAUAAAUCAGGAACUUUAGAGGAACAAGAAGAUCUUAAAGAGGAGCAAAACAUGUCACAAUCUCGAAGCAAAAAUAAUAAUGUCUGGGCCCAUGUAUAUUUGGCCAUCUAUAUAAAUUCCCAAGAGGUUUUUUUAUAUAUUUUUUGAAUUCUGAUCUUAUAAAAAUCCUACUUCCUUCGUAAACAAAUAUAAAAACGUUCAGAUCAUUAAAGUAGUGAUCUAAACACUCUUAUAUUUUUUUUACAGAGGGAGUACAAUCGAAAGAGUCAUCGAGAAGCUUCCAAAGUUUUUUUUUCUUGCUAGAAGUAUUAGCAACAGAAAUAAAACAAUAGAGAACGAAAAAAAAAGGAAGAAACAACUAAAAGAUUACCAAAUCAAGCCGGAGGCCCGGAGCCACUGGUGUGACUGACAUGUCUCCUCGUUGGUGCCACGAGGAGCAAUCAAAGCCACAGUUGCCCACAACAUCCAAGGUGACACAAAGAAAGCGCGAGAAUUCCCCCCAAAAAGUGUUAGUAACAUGAAUGAAAGUAGAGAUAUUUUCUAUUUUUGCUUGCAAUUUUUUUAAAUAAAAUGAAAUCAAGCGGGAACCUCUUGUCUGGUGUGCGCGACGAGAGGCAACCAAACAUGUUGAGAUGGAAUGAAACAAAUGAUCAAAACUCUGUCCUUUAUUGAUGAUUGGCAUGUUAUUUAUACAAUGGGAACGGUCGCCUCACAAGGACGCGAUGGUUUGUAGAGGCGUCAUUCCAGGAAACCGUCGUGACUGUUCUCACAGUCCUGGAACCGUACGUGAUGGUUAAAGUGUGGGGAUUAUCCCUUAUAACCGCAAGGGUUAUAUUUUAACACUCCCCCUAAUCACCUCUUCAUUGUAUGAAAGUCCAUCAUCUUGAUUAAGUCUCCUUCCAAAACCCUGCGGAAAAAAUAUGACGAGAAAGGUGUUCAAUAUGUUGCUAAAACUCCUUUAAACCCGGUGGGAAAAAUAAGGAGAAAAUGAUGCAACAUAUAUCGGUUAUUGUCUCUUUUAACACAGUAUGAGAAACUCAUAGAAUUUAGAGGACAAUAAAUAUGGCGUAUAUACUUUCCUAAAAAAACUAUGGGGGAAACUGAAAGUAUGACAUAUGAUCUCAUGUUGAUAUUACCUCAUUAAAAACCUUUAUGAGAACUUUUAUAGUAAACUUAUGAAGGGAAAAAGAGUAUACUAUGAUGCAUUGAACAUGAAUAAUUCAGGAAGAUACUCCGCUUGAUUUUUGCAAAUUUUAAAGUCAUCACAUACCAAUUCCAUGAAUAUAGUUCUGGAAUGUAAAAGUUGGUAGAGACUUCCUGAGCAAAUCAGUGACAUGAUUUGAUUUGCAAGAAAUGCAGUAUAGAGAUAUUGCUUCUUACGUAACAUGUUUGCAUCCGGGCAACACAAGCAACAUUAUUGUUGAGAUAACGGUUGGUGGAUGUAGCCAUGAGAUCUGUUUCGAAGACUCUUCAUGAGAGAGCUACCACACCUAGUAUGAACACUAAAUUUGUCUACGAUCUGACAUAGUGAGGAUCUGAUCGAUGUAUCCAAUAAUAUCGGUUCUCAGUUCUCACAUUUCUGUGAAACUGAAAAACCACGACAAGAUGUUUGAUGCCUUGGAGAUAUCGAAAGAUAUUCUUGAGUAUCAACCAAUUGUGUUUGGUGGAUCCAAUGGCAUUAUGGAACGUUGAGUCCCAAUAUCUCAUUUCCAUCAUCUCUUGGUUUAUAUAGAUCUUGCUCUACGUCUAGAGAGUGAACUAUCAUGAGAGCUAUGGAUGGAUAAUAUUUGUCCAUAAUGAAUUUCCCAAUAUAUUGUGGAUAUAGGCAACAUAGUAUACCAUAAUGUAUGAAUGAAGGUGCUCAAGUUGUAGUAACAACUAGUAUUUUGGUUUACCCAAAUCCUUCAUUUUAAACUCCGUCAUUUAGAUGAUUACAUGUGUCGUCAUUGCAGACAGACAAGCAUGGAUAAUCAUCAUUGUAGGAGUAAUCCUUGUGUAUAGGGAACUCACUACAUCGGUUGUACCAUAUGUACCGACAACAAUAAGUCGUAUGGUGACUUACUGAUUUUUACACAAUGUAUAUUGCAUUUUGCAUUUCGAUUCAGAAGUGAGAUUCCAUCGGGAAUCAAUCAUAUAUGCCUAAAUCUAGUGAUCCACAUGGAUAUGUGCUCACUACAUCUAUCAACUGCAGAGAUAGAUGAUUUUGUACUACCAAUGAUAUAAGUUAUCGGAAAGAGAUUCCACCUAUGAAGAAUAGUCGGGUAUCUGCGUGAACCCUUGUGCUACAAUACUUGCUCUUUGUUUCACCACCUCAUUGUUCUCAAUUAUGUUUCCAGAAGAAAAGUAGUGUAGGUAUUGCUUAUGAAUACCUUUCCAUUGUUGAGCAAGAUCAUUUCUACCUAAAUUAUACCCUUUGCUUGAGUUCAAUCCAAGUGUUGUUCACACUUUGCCAUGGCCAUGGUCUUUGGAUCCGAAUCAUGUUAAAGGUUUUGCAAUCUAGUUGAGAAAUGUAUGUCGACAACUGUAGACUUCCGGUUAUAUGAUUCUCUAGAAUCUAUACAUCAGUAUAUAGUUGAUGGAAAUAUCGUUACCCAUGGUGACUACUCGCGAUUUCCCAAUGCGAUUGAGUCGGGUAUUCCGAUGUCCCGGUCAUUGUGUGCACUAUGACCUGGGUUUGUGGAGGUUUCCCAGCCACUGGAUAUGCUACCCAUUAGGCGUUUGUCAACGUGAAGUUGACUUGCAUUUACUGAUUCAUAGGCCUUCAUAUCCUUGCUUGCGAGAAGCUGAAUCCUGAUGUACUUUUGCCAUAUAUCUCCCCUUGCUGCUUUGAACGGGGAGUGGAGUGGUUUUUUGUUGGUACCUCCACUCUUUCAGUCGUACUUUGCAGGAUUGUAGGAUUGUGUGACACCUUUAUAUUCAGUAAAUGAAUCUGGCAGGUUAUUUGCAAUGUGUUGCAAAUCUUCUGAACGCAUGGUUCAGAUAUUUGAGUAUGUGGAUUUGAGGCAGAAAUGUGUUGAACAUUCCACUAGUUUCCUAGCAUUCUUUAUGGUACUUGAAUUCUCCCCCUAAUGUCUGGAAAUAUUCCUCAUUGAAUCAGCAUACUAGCCUUGAAUAACUCCCCAUGUGAGGGGCUUGGGGUAUUGACGGAAAUACAGUUAUUCCUCACAUAGAUCCCAACUAUAUGUUGAGGGACCAAUGAUGUAUGCGAGGUGGUGAUAUCAGUAUGCAACCGAAUUACCGCAGAUGGAAAAUACUUGAUAGAUUUCCACGUAUCAAAGAUAGAGGGGAAUAAUAUUAUGCAGUUCUGUCAUGAGCAUGUAAAACUGCAUGACUCCAAGGUAAAGUUGGUAGGUUGCAAUUCCAAAGUAAAGAUAAUGCAAUGAGCUUAAUUCUAUGGAUAAAGAAUUCUACCAAACCAUUUUUAGUCUAGACAUUAGGAAAAAUUGCAAACUUCAAUCCAAGGACCAUAGAGAAGGUACUCAAGGAGAAUUUGCAAUGUUAUCCAUUUGAUUUGCUUGAAGUCGACGUUAGGAUAAUGAGCCAAUUGUUGGAAUUAUGCCCUAGAGGCAAUAAUAAAUAUAGUUAUUAUUAUAAUUCCUGUAUCAAGAUAAUCGUUUAUUAUCCAUGCUAUAAUUGUAUUGAAUGAAGACUUAUAUACAUGUGUGGAUACAUAGACAAAACACUAUCCCUAGCAAGCCUCUAGUUGGCUAGCCAAUUGAUCAAAGAUAGUCAGGGUCUUCUGAUUAUAUACAAGGUGUUGUUGCUUGAUAACUGGAUCACGUCAUUAGAAGAAUCACGUGAUGGACUAGACCCAAACUAAUAGACGUAGCAUUUUGAUCGUGUCAUUUUGUUGCUACUUUUUCUGCGUGUCAAGUAUUUGUUCCUAUGACCAUGAGAUCAUAUAACUCACUGACACCAGAGGAAUGCUUUGUGUGUAUCAAACGUCGCAACGUAACUGGGUGACUAUAAAGAUGCUCUACAGGUAUCUCCGAAGGUGUUCGUUGAGUUAGUAUGGAUCGAGACUGAGAUUUGUCACUCCGUGUGAUGGAGAGGUAUCUCGGGGCCCACUCGGUAAUACAAUAUCACACACAAGCCUUGCAAGCAAUGUGACUUAGUGUAAGUUGCGGGAUCUUGUAUUACGGGACGAGUAAAUAGACUUGCCGGUAAACGAGAUUGAAAUAGGUAUGCGGAUACUGACGAUCGAAUCUCGGGCAAGUAACAUGCCGAAGGACAAAGGGAAUGACAUACGGGAUUAUAUGAAUCCUUGGCACUGAGGUUCAAACGAUAAGAUCUUCGUAGAAUAUGUGGGAUCCAAUAUGGGCAUCCAGGUCCCGCUAUUGGAUAUUGACCGAGGAGUCACUCGGGUCAUGUCUACAUAGUUCUCGGACCCGCAGGGUCUGCACACUUAAGGUUCGAUGUUGUUUUAUGCGUAUUUGAGUUAUAUGGUUGGUUACCGAAUGUUGUUUGGAGUCCCGGAUGAGAUCACGGACGUCACGAGGUUUUCCGGAAUGGUCCGGAAACGAAGAUUGAUAUAUAGGAUGACCUCAUUUGAUUAUCGGAAGGUUUUCGGAGUUACCGGGAAUGUACCGGGAAUGACGAAUGGGUUCCGGGUGUUCACCGGGGGGCAACCCACCCCGGGGAAGCCCAUAGGCCUUGGGAGUGGCGCACCAGCCCUUGGUGGGCUGGUGGGAUAGCCCAGGAGGGCCCUAUGCGCCAAGGAUAGAAAAUCAAAGAGAAAGAAAAAAAGGAGGUGGGAAAGGAGAGAAGGACUCCACUUUCCAAUCCUAGUUGGACUAGGAUUGGAGGAGGACUCCUCCUCCCCUUGGUGCGCCUUGAGCCUCAAGGCAAGCCUCCCCUCCCUCCUCCUAUAUAUAUGGAGCAGUUAGGGCUGAUUUGAGAUAACUUUUCAAAGGCAGCCCGACCACAUACCUCCACGGUUUUACCUCUAGAUCGCGUUUCUGCGGAGCUCGGGCGGAGCCCUGCCGAGAUCAGAUCACCACCAACCUCCGGAGCGCCGUCACGCUGCCGGAGAACUCAUCUACCUCUCCGUAUCUCUUCUGGAUCAAGAAGGCCGAGAUCAUCGUCGAGAUGUACGUGUGCUGAACGCGGAGGUCCCGUCCGUUCGGCACUAGAUCGUGGGACGGAUCGCGGGACGGUUCGUGGGAUGGUUCGCGGGGCGGAUCGAGGGACGUGAGGACGUUCCACUACAUCAACCGCGUUCACUAAUGCUUCUGAUGUGCGAUCUACAAGGGUACGUAGAUCGGAAAUCCCCUCUCGUAGUUGAACAUCACCAUGAUAGGUCUUCGUGCGCGUAGGAAUUUUUUUUGUUUCCCAUGCGACGUUCCCCAUCAGUGGCAUCAUGAGCUAGGUUCAUGCGUAGAUGUCUUCUCGAGUAGAACACAAAAGUUUUUGUGGGCGGUGAUGUGCGUUUUUCUGCCCUCCUUAGUCUUUUCUUGAUUCCGCGGUAUUGUUGGAUUGAAGCGGCUUGGACCGACAUUACUCAUACGCUUACGAGAGACUGGUUUCAUCGCUACGAGUAACCCCCUUUGCUCAAAGAUGACUGACAAGUGUCGGUUUCUCCAACUUUAGUUGAAUCGGAUUUGACCGAGGAGGUCCUUGUAUAAGGUUAAAUAGCAAUUCAUAUAUCUCCGUUGUGGUGUUUGCGUAAGUAAGAUGUGAUCCUACUAGAUACCCAUGGUCACCACGUAAAACAUGCAACAACAAAAUUAGAGGACGUCUAACUUGUUUUUGCAGGGUAUGCUUGUGAUGUGAUAUGGCCAACGAUGUGAUGUGAUAUAUUGGNNNNNNNNNNNNNNNNNNNNNNNNNNNNNNNNNNNNNNNNNNNNNNNNNNNNNNNNNNNNNNNNNNNNNNNNNNNNNNNNNNNNNNNNNNNNNNNNNNNNGUGGCAUCAUGAGCUAGGUUCAUGCGUAGAUGUCUUCUCGAGUAGAACACAAAAGGUUUUGUGGGCGGUGAUGUGCGUUUUGCUUCCCUCCUUAGUCUUUUCUUGAUUCCGCGGCAUUGUUGGAUUGAAGCGGCUUGGACCGACAUUACUCGUACGCUUACGAGAGACUGGUUUCAUCGUUACGAGUAACCCCCUUUGCUCAAAGAUGACUGGCAAGUGACGGUUUCUCCAACUUUAGUUGAAUCGGAUUUGACCGAGGAGGUCCUUGGAUGAGGUUAAAUAGCAACUCAUACAUCUCCGUUGUGGUGUUUGCGUAAGUAAGAUGCGAUCCUACUAGAUACCCUUGGUCACCACGUAAAACUUGCAACAACAAAAUUAGAGGACGUCUAACUUGUUUUUGCAGGGUAUGAUUGUGAUGUGAUAUGGCCAAUGAUGUGAUGUGAUAUAUUGGAUGUAUGAGAUGACCAUGUUGUAAUAGAAAUAUCGACUUGCACGUCGAUGGUACGGCAACCGGCAGGAGCCAUAGGGUUGUCUUUAUACUAACAUAUGUGCUUGCAGAUGCGUUUACUAUUUUGCUAGGAUGUAGCUUUAGUAGUGAUAGCAUAAGUAGCACGACAACCCCGAUGGCGACACGUUGAUGGAUGAUCAUGGUGUGGCGCCGGUGACAAGAAGAUCGUGCCGGUGCUUUGGUGAUGGAGAUCAAGAAGCACGUGAUGAUGGCCAUAUCAUGUCACUUAUGAAUUGCAUGUGAUGUUAAUCCUUUUAUACACCUUAUUUUGCUUAGAACGACGGUAGCAUUAUGAGGUGAUCUCUCACUAAAAUUUCAAGACGAAAUUGUGUUCUCCCCGACUGUGCACCGUUGCUACAGUUCGUCGUUUCGAGACACCACGUGAUGAUCGGGUGUGAUAGACUCAACGUUCACAUACAACGGGUGCAAAACAGUUGCGCACGCGGAACACUCGGGUUAAGCUUGACGAGCCUAGCAUGUGCAGACAUGGCCUCGAAACACAUGAGACCGAAAGAUCGAUCAUGAAUCAUAUAGUUGAUAUGAUUAGCAUAGGGAUGCUUACCACUGAAACUACUCUCGACUCACGUGAUGAUCGGACUUGGGAUAGUGUAAGUGGAUCAUGAACCACUCAAAUGACUAGAGAGAUGUACUUUUUGAGUGGGAGUUUAGCAUAUAAUUUGAUUAAGUUGAACUCUAAUUAUCUUGAACAUAGCCUAAGUCCACUUUGAAUAUAUUUGUUUUGUAGAUCAUGGCUCACGCGACAGUCAUCCUGAAUUUUAAUACGUUCCUAGAGAAAGCUAAGUUGAAAGAUGAUGGAAGCAACUUUGUAGACUGGGCUCGUAAUCUUAAGCUAAUCUUACAAGCUAGGAAGAAGGAUUAUGUCCUUAAUGCUGCGCUAGGAGAUGAACCACCCGCUACGGCUGAUCAGGAUGUUAAGAACGCUUGGUUAGCACGUAAGGAGGACUACUCAAUAGUUCAAUGUGCAGUCUUGUAUGGCUUAGAACCGGGACUUCAACAUCGCUUUGAGCGUCAUGGAGCAUUUGAGAUGUUCCAGGAGUUGGAGUUUAUCUUUCAGAAGAACGCCCGGAUCGAGAGGUAUGAGACCUCCGAUAAAUUCUAUGCUUGCAAGAUGGAGGAAAACUCGUCUGUCAGUGAACAUGUGCUCAAAAUGUCUGGGUACUCAAACCGUCUAGCUGAACUGGGCAUUGAACUCCCGCAAGAAGCUAUCACUGACAGAAUCCUUCAAUCACUGCCGCCAAGCUAUAAAGGGUUUGUGUUGAACUAGAACAUGCGAGGGAUGAACAAGUCUCCCGGCGAGUUGUUUGCGAUGCUGAAAGUCGCAGAGUCUGAACUCCGUAAAGAGCAUCAAGUGUUGAUGGUGAAUAAGACCACUAGUUUCAAGAGAAACGACAAAGGCACGAAGGGCAAUUCGAAGAAGAGCGGCAAACCUGUUGCCAAUCCGCCGAAGAAACCCAAGGCUGGACCUAAGCCUGAAACAGAGUGCUUCUAUUGCAAGGGUAUGUGUCACUCGAAGCGCAAUUGCCCCAAGUAUCUGGCAGAUAAGAAGGCGGGCAAAGAAAAAUCAGGUAUAUUUGAUAUACAUGUUAUUGAUGUGUACUUAACCGGCUCUCAUAGUAGUGCCUGGGUAUUCGAUACCGGUUCUGUUGCUCAUAUUUGCAACUCGAAGCAGGAACUGCGGAAUAGACGAAGGCUGGCGAAAGACGAAGUGACGAUGCGCGUAGGAAACGGUUCCAAGGUUGAUGCAAUCGCCGUCGGCACAGUGUCACUUCAGCUACCAUCGGGAUUAGUGAUGAACUUAAAUCAUUGUUAUUUAGUGCCUGCGUUGACCAUGAACAUUAUAUCUGGAUCUUGUUUAUUGCAAGACGGUUACUCUUUUAAGUCUGAGAAUAAUGGUUGUUCUAUUUCUGUGAGUAACAUCUUUUAUGGUCAUGCACCGAAUGUGAGAGGAUUGUUCAUAUUGAAUCUUGAUAGCGAUACGCAUAUACAUAACAUUGAGACCAAAAGAGUUAGAGUAAACAAUGAUAGCGCCAUAUUUUUGUGGCACUGCCGUUUAGGUCAUAUUGGUGUAAAGCGCAUGAAGAAACUCCAUGCUGAUGGACUUUUGGAGUCACUUGACUUUGAUUCACUUGACACGUGCGAACCAUGUCUCAUGGGCAAGAUGACUAAAACUCCGUUCUCCGGAACAAUGGAGCAUGCAAGUGACUUGUUGGAAAUCAUACAUACCGAUGUGUGUGGACCAAUGAGCGUAGAGGCACACGGUGGAUAUCGUUAUUUUCUUACCUUCACUGACGAUUUAAGUAGAUAUGGUUAUGUCUACUUGAUGAAGCACAAGUCUGAAACAUUUGAAAAGUUCAAGCAAUUUCAGAGUGAAGUGGAAAAUCAUCGUAACAAGAAGAUCAAGUUCCUACGUUCUGAUUGUGGGGGUGAAUAUCUGAGUUUCGAGUUUGGUGCUCACUUAAGACAAUGUGGAAUUGUUUCACAGUUAACACCGCCUGGAACACCAUAGCGUAAUGGUGUGUCCGAACGUCGUAAUCGUACUUUGUUAGAGAUGGUGCGAUCUAUGAUGUCUCUUACUGAUUUGCCGUUAUCAUUUUGGGGUUAUGCAUUAGAAACAGCUGCAUUCACUUUGAAUAGGGCACCAUCAAAAUCCGUUGAGACGACACCAUACGAACUAUGGUAUGGCAAAAGGCCAAAGUUGUCGUUUCUUAAAGUUUGGGGAUGUGAUGCUUAUGUCAAAAAGCUUCAGCCUGAAAAGCUGGAACCCAAAGCGGAAAAGUGCGUCUUCAUAGGUUACCCAAAAGAGAUAGUUGGGUACACCUUCUAUCUCAAAUCCGAGGGCAAAGUGUUUGUUGCUAAAAACGGAGCUUUUCUCGAGAAGGAGUUUCUCUCGAGAGAAUUGAGUGGGAGGAAGAUAGAACUUGACGAGGUUGUCGAACCUCUCAUCCCUCUAGAUGGUGGCGCAGGGCAAGGGGAAACCUCUGUCGUUGCAACGCCGAUUGAGGAGGAAGUUAAUGAUGAUGAUCAUGAAACUCCAGUCCAAGUUUCUGUUGAACCACGCAGGUCGACGAGAUCACGCGCUGCUCCAGAGUGGUACUGUAAUCCCGUCUUAUCAAUCAUGUUGUUAGACAACAAUGAACCUGCAAAUUAUGAAGAAGCAAUGGUGGGCCCAGAUUCCAACAAAUGGCUGGAAGCCAUGAAAUCCGAGAUAGGAUCCAUGUAUGAGAACAAAGUGUGGACUUUGGAGAUACUACCUGAGGGCCGGAAGGCUAUUCAGAAAAAUGGAUCUUUAAGAAGAAGACGGACGCUGACGGUAAUGUGACCGUUUAUAAAGCUCGACUUGUGGCAAAGGUUUUUCACAAGUUCCAGGAGUGGACUAUGAUGAGACUUUCUCACCCGUAGCGAUGCUUAAGUCCGUCAGAAUCAUGUUAGCAAUAGCUGCAUUUUUCGAUUAUGAAAUCUGGCAGAUGGAUGUCAAAACGGCAUUCCUUAACGGUUUCCUUAAGGAAGAGUUGUAUAUGAUGCAACCCGAAGGUUUUGUCGAUCCUAAAAAUGCUGACAAGGUAUGCAAGCUCCAGUGAUCCAUUUAUGGACUGGUGCAAGCAUCUCGGAGUUGGAACAAACGCUUUGAUGAGGUGAUCAAAGCAUUUGGGUUUAUACAAGUGGUUGGAGAAUCUUGUAUUUACAAGAAAGUGAGUGGGAGCUCUGUGGCGUUUCUAAUAUUAUAUGUGGAUGACAUAUUACUGAUUGGAAACAACGUAGAGCUUUUGGAGAGCAUAAAAGGUUACUUGAAUAAAAGUUUCUCUAUGAAGGACCUAGGAGAAGCUGCUUACAUUCUAGGCAUUAAGAUCUAUAGGGAUAGAUCAAAACGCCUGAUAGGACUUUCACAAAGCACAUACCUUGAUAAAGUUUUGAAGAGGUUCAAAAUGGAAUAGUCCAAGAAAGGGUUCUUGCCAGUUUUACAAGGUACGAGAUUGAGUAAGACUCAGUGCCCAGCAACUGAUGAAGAUAGAGAGCAUAUGCGCUCCGUCCCCUAUGCUUCAGCCAUAGGUUCUAUCAUGUAUGCGAUGUCGUGCACUAGACCGGAUGUUAGCCUGGCCAUAAGUAUGGCAGGUAGGUUCCAGAGUAAUCCAGGAGUGGAUCACUGGACAUCGGUCAAGAAUAUCCUGAAGUACCUGAAAAGGACUAAGGAAAUGUUUCUCGUGUAUGGAGGUGACGAAGAGCUCACCGUAAAAGGUUACGUCGAUGCAAGCUUUGACACAGAUCCGGACGACUCUAAGUCGCAAACCGGAUACGUAUUUAUUCUUAAUGGGGGUGCAGUAAGCUGGUGCAGUUCCAAGCAAAGCGUCGUAGCAGAUUCUACAUGUGAAGCAGAGUACAUGGCUGCCUCGGAGGCGGCUAAGGAGGGUGUCUGGAUGAAGCAGUUCAUGACGGAUCUUGGAGUGGUGCCAAGCGCACUGAAUCCAAUAACCUUGUUCUGUGACAACACUGGUGCCAUUGCCUUAGCAAAGGAACCACGGUUUCACAAGAAGACCAGACACAUCAAACGACGCUUCAACCUCAUCCGCGACUACGUCGAGGAAGAGGACGUAAAUAUAUGCAAAGUGCACACGGAUCUGAAUGUAGGAGACCCGCUGACUAAACCUCUCCCACGGCCAAAACAUGAUCGACACCAGAACUGUAUGGGUGUUAGAUUUAUUACAAUGUAAUUCACAUGGUGAUGUGAGGGCUAGAUUAUUGACUCUAGUGCAAGUGGGAGACUGUUGGAAUUAUGCCCUAGAGGCAAUAAUAAAUAUAGUUAUUAUUAUAAUUCCUGUAUCGAGAUAAUAGUUUAUUAUCCAUGCUAUAAUUGUAUUGACUGAAGACUCAUUUACAUGUGUGGAUACAUAGACAAAAAACUGUCCCUAGCAUGCCUCUGGUUGGCUAGCCAGUUGAUCAAUGAUAGUCAGUGUCUUCUGAUUAUGAACAAGGUGUUGUUGCUUGAUAACGGGAUCACGUCAUUGGGAGAAUCACGUGAUGGACUAGACCCAAACUAAUAGACGUAGCAUGUUGAUCGUGUCAUUUUGUUGCUACUGUUUUCUGCGUGUCAAGUAUUCAUUCCUAUGACCAUGAGAUCAUAUAACUCACUGACACCGGAGGAAUGCUUUGUGUGUAUCAAACGUCGCAACAUAACUGGGUGACUAUAAAGAUGCUCUACAGGUAUCUCCGAAGGUGUUAGUUGAGUUAGUAUGGAUCAAGACUGGGAUUUGUCACUCCGUGUGAUGGAGAGGUAUCUCGGGGCCCACUCGGUGAUACAACAUCACACACAAGCCUUGCAAGCAAUGUAACUUAGUGUAAGUUGCGGGAUCUUGUAUUACGGAACGAGUAAAGAGACUUGCUGGUAAACGAGAUUGAAAUAGGUAUGCGGAUACUGACGAUCGAAUCUCGGGCAAGUAACAUACCGAAGGACAAAGGGAAUGGCGUACGGGAUUAUACGAAUCCUUGGCACUGAGGUUCAAACGAUAAGAUCUUCGUAGAAUAUGUAGGAUCCAAUAUGGGCAUCCAGGUCCCGCUAUUGGAUAUUGACCGAGGAGUCUCUCGGGUCAUGUCUACAUAGUUCUCGAACCCGCAGGGUCUGCACACUUAAGGUUCGACGUUGUUUUAUGCGUAUUUGAGUUAUAUGGUUGGUUACCGAAUGUUGUUCGGAGUCCCGGAUGAGAUCACGGACGUCACGAGGGUUUCCGGAAUGGUCCGGAAACGAAGAUUGAUAUAUAGGAUGACCUCAUUUGAUUACCGGAAGGUUUUCAGAGUUACCGGGAAUGACGAAUGGGUUCCGGGAGUUCACCGGGGGGGGGGGGGGCAACCCACCCCGGGGAAGCCCAUAGGCCAUAAGGGUGGCGCACCAGCCCUUAGUGGGCUGGUGGGACAGCCCAAGAGGGCUCUAUGCGCCAAGGAUAAGAAAUCAAAGGAAAAAAAGGAGGAAGUGGGAAGGGAGGGGGACUCCCUCCCACCAAACCUAGUCCAACUCGGUUUGGGGGGGGGGGAGAGUCCUCCCCCUUGGCUCGGCCGACCCCUUGAGGGUCCUUGGACCCCAAGGCAAGGCCCCCCUCCCUCCCACCUAUAUAUACGGAGGUUUUAGGGCUGAUUUGAGACGACUUUUCCACGGCAGCCCGACCACAUACCUCCACGGUUUUUCCUCUAGAUCGCGUUUCUGCGGAGCUCGGGCGGAGCCCUGCUGAGACAAGGUCAUCACCAACCUCCGGAGCACCGUCACGCUGCCGGAGAACUCUUCUACCUCUCCGUCUCUCUUGCUGGAUCAAGAAGGCCGAGAUCAUCGUCGAGCUGUACGUGUGCUGAACGCGGAGGUGCCGUCCGUUCGGUACUAGAUCGUGGGACUAAUCGCGGGAUUGUUCGCGGGGCGGAUCGAGGGACGUGAGGACGUUCCACUACAUCAACCGCGUUCUCUAACGCUUCUGCUGUACGGUCUACAAGGGUACGUAGAUCACUCAUCCCCUCUCGUAGAUGGACAUCACCAUGAUAGGUCUUCGUGCGCGUAGGAAAUUUUUUGUUUCCCAUGCGACGUUCCCCAACAGUGUGGUGGUGGCUUCGGCAAUGGUGGUGGUGGUAGGGUGGCUUCGGCAAUGGUGGUGGUAGUGGUGGUGGCUUCGACAAUGGUGAUGGUGGUAGGGUGGCUUCGGCAAUGGYGAUGGUGGUAGGGUGGCUUCGGCAAAUGGGCGAGUGGUGGUAGGUGGCUUCCGCAAGGGUGGUGGUGGUGGCGGCNNNNNNNNNNNNNNNNNNNNNNNNNNNNNNNNNNNNNNNNNNNNNNNNNNNNNNNNNNNNNNNNNNNNNNNNNNNNNNNNNNNNNNNNNNNNNNNNNNNNAAAGGGAAUAGUAUACGGGAUUAUAUGAACCUUGACAUAGAGGUUCAACCGAUAGAGAUCUUCGUAGAAUAUGUAGAAACCAAUAUGGACAUCCAGGUCCCGCUGUUGGUUAUUGACCAGAGAGUGUCUCAGGUUAUGUCUGCAUAGUUCUCGAACCCGUAGGGUCUGCACACUUAAGGGUCAGUGACGUUUCAGUAUAGUUGAGUUACAGGUGUUUGUGACCGAAGGUUGUUCGGAGUCGCGUAUGAGAUCACAGACGUCACGAUGGUUUCCGUAAUGGUCCGGAAACGAAGAUUGAUAUAUAGGAUGGUUUCAUUUGGUCACCGAAAAGAUUUCGGGCAUUACCGGCAGUGUACCAGGAGUGACGAAUGGGUUCCGGAUGUUCAUCGGGAGGGGCCCACCCACCCAGGAGUGAGCUUAAGAGCCCAAGGGUGGCGCACCAGCCCUUAGUGGGCUGGUGAGGCGAGCCCAAGUGGGCUAUGGUGCUAGGAAAAGAAAACCAGAAAAAGAAAAAAAGAGGGAGGCGGGAAGGAUGAGGAGGACUCCUCCUUCCCCAAACCGAAUUGGAGUUGGAGUCCUCCUCUCCUCUCUCGGCCGGCGCCCUUGAGGCUCCCUUGAGCCUCAAGGCUAGCCCCUCCCCUCCUCCUAUAUAUACUAGAGGUUUUUGGGGUUUUGAGACACACUUUGCCACGUGCAACUCAAACCUCUACCUCGUAGUUACACAAUAAUUAUGGGUCCCAUGGCGCCGCAAACAUUGUGGGAACUUCGGCGACCGGAUACGGGGACCUCGUCAAAACUCGCAAAUUUGGUCCAUUCUGGCCAGUUUUCUAUGCUACUACUCACUAAUUUCGGGUCCCGGGGAGAUCCGAACGUUCGGGGAACUUUGGGGUCCGGUUAUGGGGACAUUAUCAAAACUCGCAGAUUUGGUCCAUUCUAGCCAAUUUUCUAUGCGAUUACUCACUAAUUCAGGGUCCCGUGGUGCUACAGAUGUUCGGGGAAAUUCNNNNNNNNNNNNNNNNNNNNNNNNNNNNNNNNNNNNNNNNNNNNNNNNNNNNNNNNNNNNNNNNNNNNNNNNNNNNNNNNNNNNNNNNNNNNNNNNNNNNAAAGUUGAUUCCCCCACCAAUCCCUUGCGGAUCUUGUUACUCUUGGGUGUUUGAGCAUCCUAGACGGUUGAGGUCACCUCGGAGCCACAUUCCAUUAUGGUGAAGCUUCGUGGUCUUGUUGGGAGCCUCCAAGCUUUGUGUGGAGUUUUCCCCAACCUUGUUUGUAAAGGUUCGGUCGCCGCCUUCAAGGGCACCUAUAGUGGAAUCACGGUACCUUGCAUCGUGUGAGGGCGUGAGGAGAAUACGGUGGCCCUAGUGGCUUAUUGGGGAGCAUUGUGCCUCCACACCGCUCCAACGGAGACGUACUUCCUGUCAAAGGGAAGGAACUUCGAUAACACAUCCUCGUCUUCAUUGGUUCCACUUGUGGUUAUCUCUAACCUUUACUUUGUGUUUGCUUAUGUUGUUGUCCAUCUCUUACUUGUCUUAGUAGCUCUUGUUGUUAGCUUCAUUAUGGUUCACCCCAUUGUUGUUAUUCUUCUGAACCCGUAUGUUGUUUACCCUAACUUGCUAAGAUUAAUUAAAAAGUGGUCGUUGCUUAUUCACCCCCCCCCUCUAGUCAACCAUAUCGAUCCUUUCAAAAGUGCUCUUGAGUACACAUGUGAAUUUCCAUCUAGUCAUGCUCAUCAUGUUGAGUUGAUUCGCGUUUGUUACCUUGAUCAUUUGAUAUGUGCGUGGACCGGUGCUAAGGUGUCGUUCUUACUUGAACAAACAACUCACUUAUGAUUACCCCCUCUCGCAAGGAUCUGCAACUAUGAGAAAACAAUUAUGAUAAAUCAAACGAUAGCAUGAAACAUAUGGAUCCAAAUAAGCUCCUUGUGGAAUAACACAUAAAGUAGGGUUUAAGCUUCUGUCACUUUUGCAACCCAUCAUGUACUAAUUACUCCAUAAUGAAUUCUCUUAGGCUCAAAGUAUGGUGAAGUGUCAUGUAGUUGACGUUUACAUGACACCACUAAAACAAGCAACGACAUUCAUAUCAUUAAAAUAUCGAACGAAUACCAACUUCACAUGAUUACUUAUAACAAGACUUCUCCCAUAUCCUCGAGAACAAAAGUAACUACUCACAAAUCAUCACCAUGUUCAAAACCAAAGGUGUAAUAAAUAUGAUAAAGGAUCUGAGCAUAUUAUCUUCCACCAAGUAAACCCGCAAGCAUCAACUACAAGAUGUAAUGAACGCUACUAGAAACCCCCAGGUACCAAUCUAAGGUUUUGAGACAAAGAUUGAAUACAAGAUAUGAACUAGGGUUUGAUAUGAGAUGGUGCUGGCGAAGAUGUUAAUGAAGUUUGGUCCUCCCAUGAAGGAGGAAGCGUUGGUGAUGACGAUGGCUUCAAUUUCCCCCUCUGAGACGGAAGUUUCCCCAGUAAAAUUUCUCUCUCGGAGAGUGAAAGGGCUCCUCCCUACGUUUUCUCCUUGAGACGGCGGUGCAUCGUCCUGAAAGUAUCCUUCUGAUUUGUUCUAGGUAGAAAUCCUUCAUAUAGUAGAAGAGGGGGGCUAGGCCUGACUGUGGGCUUCCCAAGCCAUGAGGACGCGUCGAGGGGGUGGUCGCGCCCUGAUCACUUGGGAGCCACAGGUGGCCCCCCUAUGGCACUUCUUUGCUUCAUAAAUUCACAUGUAUUUCACGAAAAAUCCUUGUGAAGUUUCAGGUCAUUUGGAGUCCACAGAAAUUUCAGCCAUUUUCUUGGUUUUCUGGUCCAGAAUUCCAGUUUCCGAUAAUCUCCCUCUUUGUGAAUAUACCUUGUAAAUUAAGAGAGAAAGGCAUUAGAAUUGUAUCAUAAAAUAGAAUAAUGUCCAAAAACAAUAUAAAUUUCAAUUAGAAAUCAUGAUGCAAAAUGGAUGUAUCACGCCUCUUGAUCAACAACUCCUCCCUCGGGCAAUCAUAUGUGAUAUGUGAUGUCCACAAAUCUAGAAACUCAUCCAAAACACAAAACCCUAGCCUCCGAUAGGCAUUUGAAGGAUGAAUUGGUAGAGCGGGGAUCGCCAUCACCACCAUAUUGUGAAAAGGGACGUCGACAUUUGUCAUUUUCAUCAUCAUCUUCAUCGCCAUCCAUAUCCAUCUUAUUGCAAUAUCGAACCUCUUGUGGAUCAUUACAUGUAUUUACUGCAUGCAAGAUGUGCAUUGGGGAGAUGCAGUUGAUUUGCUUGACCAAAGUUUAAGUUAAGUAGGUGCGCCAUUCUCGUUUUGUCCAUUUGAAUGUUAUCAUGCAUGUAGCAUGAUAACCAUUAUGUAUCAUACUCAUUUUUGGGCACUCGUCCUAUAUACGUUUAUUGGUAAUUAUCUAUGACAACUUACUCGCAUCAUCGUGAGCAUAUUUUUAAGUGGGCCGCACCAAUUCUUGUCCCAUAUAAAACCUCGGGUAUUAAAAUGUGCAAAUUAUGAGGUUGUGCUAAACUAUGCAUAAUACCUCCCUAUAAUAUUCUUGUUUUAGUUUAUGCUCAGCGAAUUUGAUUUGUUGCAAGUCAUUGUAUUGUUAUGGCAAUUCAAGAAACCAAUGGAAAAGGAGUUGAUUUUUCUCUUCGAUGGCACUACAUGAGAGUCUAAGGAACCCCCCCCCACCCCCACCCCACCCUCGGUCCUACAUGUCACUCUACUAUGGUGACUCAUGAGAUCCCUAUUCGUCCACGGUAGGGUCCCCUUCCCCCUCGAUGCAUCGCCGCCACUAGAGGCGUCCGCGGACAAAGCUAGCCCAUGCAAGUUUCAUGGGCGGUGAGAAAAAGUAAUUGUUUAUGUUGGUAAGGUGACAAGUGAGGUUGUGUCCAACGCAGUGCUCAGGAUGCCAAUGGUUCUUUUGAGAAAACUUGCACCAUGUUAGCGACACACGGAUAAAAAACUACAGUAACCGUUGGUGUUAUUGGGUUCUUAUAAUGUCUUUACUCCCUUUAUUUCAAAAUAUUAGAUACAUUAGUUUUUGAAAAGCCAAACCUCUUGAAGUUCGAUUAUUUUGAAGAGAAAUAUAUCAAUGUCGAUAAUAUCAAAUCGGUGUCAUUCAAUUCAUCAUAAGAUAAAUUUCCAUAUUUCAUCAAUGUUGAUAAUAUUUCAUUUACUCCCUUUAUGGAUGUCAUUAUUUUUGGCUCUAAACUUGGUCGAUAUUAAAGAGUUCUCUUUUAAAAAAAACUUAUAUUUUGGGACCAACGGAGCAUUUCAUUUGGCGAGUUGAGAAAUGAUGGAGUAGUGGAUAUCAUUUCUCUGUAGAUCAUUUACAGUAAACGGAAAAACACAUCACUUGCAUGGUUGCAUGUUCAAACUUCAGGCCAUGAGCAAGAAUUCCAUGUACCAUUAGUUUACUGUAAUCACAUGGGAACAGAGUGGAGACAAACUAAAACAAAAAGAGGCGCCACCAUGCCUCAACUCCAAACACAAGAUUUUUAUUCUCACCAAAGAACAAAAAGCAACAACACUCGUGCACGUGAGAAGCAUCAUUCCCAGUCUUUGAAGUACUACAAAUCAAACAUUUACUAUUACUUCAUCAAGACAUCUGCGGCUCAUCAUGGAUAAACCUGGUUGGUUCAUCAACUAAAUCAUCAUGACACGGAUUAACUGUAUGUUAGAGUUGUGUCGAAUAUUCUUGUACAAGGUAGGUUACAGUUGGACUCUGAGUAGUAUUGUGUUUAGACAGGAUAUGGAGUCGUGUCCUGAUAGGACACUUGUAUCCUAGUCCUCUCAUAUAUAGCGGGGGUAGACACACGAUGUAACCCAUGCCAACAUAAUAGCACGGGUGCGCGGGGGAGCCGGCGACGUGUGUCGGUGCCCGGGCGGCCGAGGUGCGGUAUUGUGACGGUGUCACGGGGAGGAGCGCCCGUAGUCAGGCCCCGGGGAUGUAGCCAUAUCGGUGAACCUCGUUAACAAAUCUCGGUGUCGUGCUUGUGUGAUUGCUUGGUCCUCGGUUGAUCAACGAAGUGCCUCGAAUUAUUGUAACAAGUGGUAUCAUGAACAAGGUUCGAAGAAAUUGUGGUUGUUAAUCUAGAGACAAGGAAGAAAAUAUCUAUGAAAUUCUGCGGGAUGAUCAUUGAAGCAGAAGGAAAUUGGCGUGGAUCGUCGAUGAGUUGCUGCGGACACGGUCUGGAACAGAUGGAUUCGUGGUGAUAUUAUUUUCAAGGAAGCAAUCGGAAGCAGGAAGAGGAUGCAGAUCGGUUUUCAGCGGCGGCGUAACAUACGUGCAGCCAGCGCUUCGGGGCUGAUCGGAUAGAUUUGAUCCGGUUGGGCACCUAGCGACGGUGGCACUCGGAUCGCUACGGAGCCGCGUAUGCAGGCAGACCAGCUAGGGCAGGCAGCGUGUCCUGUAGGGCAGCAGCAUGUUGCCCAGGUUCAGGUGGCGUGAAGGGCAGGCAGCCCAAGCAUGGGGCCUAAGACGUGAGGCUCUAUCAGCUGGUGGGUAGGCCGGCGAGGCUGGACGAGGCCCAGGCGCGGUGCCGUUGUGUUGCAGAUGGCUGGCUGUAAGUUGUGGACGUGGCGAUGUACUGCAUAGCUGUGACACGAGUUUUGUUGGGGAAAAAGGAAUGCGUCUGGACUCAUAGAUGCACGUUGAAUGCUGGUGUUGACCAUCUUGAGCAAGGUCAGCGAGAGGCGAAUCAGUCUAAACGCUACAAGCAUGCAUGGAAACAUGAUGGAGUUUGAAUCUCUACGAUUGUGUGCAUAUGGAAAGUCUACUACAGGGAUUUCCUCAUUGUCUCCUUGCUUGGUACACCUACAGUUUACGUACAAGAUGACGACGUGCGUAUAUGGCUCGGAGGAGUCUGGAGCGCGUUGUGGCAUACAUAUGGUGUCAAGUAAUGCAUGGGGAUGUGCGGGCGGAUAUGACGCAAGGUGGAGCAUGGUUGCAGUUCGAUAUUUUCGGCUGAGUCGGACUGGACUGUCUGACGGAUCGACGUGAUGUCGAUCAAAGCAGAAGAAGGCGGUGAUUUCAGCGACGACGACAUAGGAGCGUGAUGCUGAUGGUGGUCGACUUCUGGGGCGUGGAAACACGUGGUGCAGGUCUGAGGGCUUGUGCGGCUUAAACAGACUAUGACGCAUGGUUGAUUCAAGACAGUGCACACAUGAGAGCUUGAAGUCGACAGGGCGCGAGGUAGCACGGCCAGCUACAUGGAGUCAUGUUGAAGGUGGAGCUGGAGUCUAGCGAAAGACUUCACUCUGUGCUGAUGGAGGGGCUACGGCGUAAGAAUUCGGAGAAUCGUAGCCUAUUUCAGUGGGAUAGCGAGAGACACGUGGAUUGGACUGUGUACCAGUCGUCUGAUGGAGACGUGAUACUCGGCAUCGGUCGGUGAUGAUCGGUGGUUCUCUGCAGUGGGGGUUGAGUGGUGUGGGUUCGCGACCUUGGAAAACUUGAACAUGACAGCAGAGGCUCGACGCGGUGAUAGUGACGAGGUGUGCGGUAAGCACGGGACACAGCUACAGAACAAGGCACUGGUGGUCAGACAUGUUGUCAGACAAAGUGUGUAAAGGGUGCUGAAGCAGUGUUGACGAGUACCAGAUUGAAGUUGAUGACUGGGUCUAUCGGUGCUAGUUGAUGGACAGGAGUUGACCAUAAAGAAUCUGAGAAAGUGACAGAAAGUCUAAAUUGUCAUAAGCGAAGAAAGUACAUGGCCGCAUAUGUUGUGGUGUUUAGUGCACAUGGGAAGGUGCAUAUGACAAGUACAGAAGGAGGCGGAGUGCUAUAGCUUUGGGACAUUGUCAGAGACUAUCCGGGAAAAGGAUGAGACAACUGCGAAUUUGACUCCGGGGUGACACACGGCGACGGUGAAAUUCUUUCAACUUUUAGAUAGACGGUCAAGGAAGAGCGAGGAUGUUAAGUUCAGAUAACUCUUAUACGUGGCAUCCAAUAUGUGGGUUAUUCACUUUCAUGUAGGUCAGUGAUCAGUGUGUGAUGACGUUGAAGGGAUAACUCUUAUACGUGGCAUCCAAUAAGGAACUUAACUUUGCUCGAGGGUUGACUGUGAAGAAGACGAGAAGGGACUACAGUUGCAGGUGGAGUCACAUGGAGUCUGGGAGUAGCAGUGGUGCUCAUGGCGUAUCUCAAGUCCAAUGUACAUGAAAGUUUGACCCAUGGAUGAACUCAAGGUGGCGGAGAAUAUUCGCCAAGGUGGAGUUUGUUAGAGUUGUGUCGAAUAUUCUUGUACAAGGUAGGUUACAGUUGGACUCUGAUUAGUAUUGUGUUUAGACAGGAUAUGGAGUCGUGUCCUGAUAGGACACUUGUAUCCUAGUCCUCUCAUAUAUAGCGGGGGUAGACACACGAUGUAACCCAUGCCAACAUAAUAGCACGGGUGCGCGGGGGAGCCGGCGACGUGUGUCGGUGCCCGGGCGGCCGAGGUGCGGUAUUGUGACGGUGUCACGGGGAGGAACGCCCGUAGUCAGGCCCCGGGGAUGUAGCCAUAUCGGUGAACCUCGUUAACAAAUCUCGGUGUCGUGCUUGUGUGAUUGCUUGGUCCUCGGUUGAUCAACGAAGUGCCUCGGAUUAUUCUAACACAUCACUUGCAUGGUUGCAUGUUCAAACUUCAGGCCAUGAGCAAGAAUUCCAUGUACCAUUAGUUUACUGUAUCACAUGGGAACAGAGUGGAGACAAACUAAAACAAAAAGAGGCGCCACCAUGCCUCAACUCCAAACACAAGAUUUUUAUUCUCACCAAAGAAUAAAAAGCAACAACACUCGUGCACGUGAGAAGCAUCAUUCCCAGUCUUUGAAGUACUACAAAUCAAACAUUUACUAUUACUUCAUCAAGACAUCUGCGGCUCAUCAUGGAUAAACCUGGUUGGUUCAUCGACUAAAUCAUCAUGACACGGAUUAACUGUCAUUGACUGAACUCGGCCUUUGGACAAGUGAAACUAUGACUACACAAGAAUAGCACCACCACGACCACUGGGCCGCUCUGCUCACCAAGUCAGCUACUCUGCUACUCUGCUACUGCUAAAAAAUGAGAAGCACACACUAGUUUUGCAAUUGUAAAUUAAACCUGGCUGUUUCAUCAACACAUCAUCAUCACACAGAGUAACAGCAAUGUAGUACAGAACUUAGUCGUUGUUUCAUCAUCACAUAAUAGAUUGACUGCCAUCUACUGAACUUUAGUCCUUGCACAACUGAAAGUCUGAAACUGGGACUGGAAGAACUAGCUACCAGAAGUCUUCUUCUUCUACUGGUGCCACCACACAAAGCAGCAGACUACACUAGCUAACACUAACAGCAACUAAGCUAAGCAACACCUCCAGCAUGCAAGAAAGCAAACAAGUUUGUUUCUUGCUACUACAUUCCUUCCAAGCAUCAUCCACUUCCCUCCAAAAUAACCAACCACCAAUAACUGAAUCGGUCACAAGGUUAAGAGUUACCCAUUUUGCAGCCAGCUGAAACUGAAUGUGGGAUGAUCAGAGCAGGAUGUCGGCCUUGGAUGGCAGCCUCCGGAAGAAGUUCAUCAGCGGGGACGGCAUCCGGCUGCGGAACCUCGGCGGGCGCAUGGCGUAGAGGCCCCACAGCCCGAUCAGCAACUUCAUCGGCACAGCAUAAGCAAUGACCGCAGCAACAACACAGGCAACCGAGAAGAGCAUCGUCGCCCUCGGGUCGCGCCAGCUGAGCACCGCCUGCAUCCGCUCGCCCUGCGUCGCAAUGUCACCGACCACCGUCUGCACCCUCCCCGCCACGCUGCGGAGGCGGUCGUACCUGAAGCGCACAGCAUCGCCACGGCUCGAAGGGAACGUGUCGAACUCCUCGUCCAGCUCGUCGACGGUGGCCGCGUCCGCGUGGGACAACCGCAUGUCCAUGUGGGGCGGGUGCCUCGGGCGCACGCGGUACCUCCAGAGCCCGGUGAUCGCCAUCACCAGGAACGCCGUCGGCAGGAUCAGCUCCGGCAUCAGGACGAACACCAAGAACGUGAAGACGGCAACGCAGGAAUGCACCGGGUAAUGCCAGGAGCGAACCAGCUCGAACCACCUGCCAACCGCCAUCACACCGGAGAGCACGGAGACAAGGCGAAAGAAGUUGGCCUUGCUGCGCCGCAUGCUCCACAGAUGUGAACGGUGAUCCAGCAUGUACUCGACGACCUCUUUGCCGAGUGGCGGCUCGGUGCGGCCAAGCCGGGCAGCGACGACACUCGUGGCCUGGAACCGCAGGCUCUCGACCUGCCGCACCAGCAGCGGCUCGAUGUAGUGCAUCUUGGGGAGCAUCGGGCGAGCAUAGGCAUGGUACAUGUUGCCGGCAUUGCUGGAGCAGAAGCGCACGGCCAGGUGGAGCUCCCCCAUCUUCUUGACACCAGACGGAUGCAGCAUCAGCAGUGGGUAGGCAUGAGUGUACACCCUGUCGGUCUCCAGUGUCGAGAGCCUGAUACGGACCUUGCCGAUGCAGUUGUCACGGACGGCCACCGUGGUGUUGUUCCCUGAUGCCGGCUUGUCCACAUGGCAGUUGUCGAACACGCCGACGGUGAUCACGGUGCAGGGGUCGAACACCUCCCAGGUGUACUGCUCGUUCCACCGGGGGCACACCGAGUCGACGACGGUGCGCGUGCGGAUCCACUUCUGGCCAUACUUUGCGACGCAAUAUGAAUCUGCCGUCGCGCCCCUGCCAUCGGCCCGGCCCUUCAUUGGUAUCAGUCCAGUGGCACCGAGCACGCCGAGCUCGAGCACCCCGACAUGCGGGUACCACAGCUGCUUUGCCGUCGGCCGGAGAUCACUGCUGUACGCCGUUGCCUCAUCCAGAACAUGGUAACCGCCGUCGAGACUUAGCCGGAGAUGCACCCGGCUCCCGAACCUGUUCGGGUUGUUGACGGCGACAUUGCCGCCGCCACCGGCGCGGUCCAGCCCAAACCACCUGGAGACAACAAGCUUCUCAUCCCAGCGCCUCUCAAUGGCAGACACCGGAACGACGAGGCGGCCGAGGAUGUCAUCCCUGCCCGGCGACACAUGAUCCUCCAGAGAGACCACCAAGAACUCCUCAAAUGGCUCGGCAACCACAAACAUCAGGUCCUCGUUCCAGAACGGGCUCGUCGGCCCCCGGUUCGCCAUGAUCGGCGACGCUCGUGUGCGCAGCAUCUGGCUCCCAAUCUGCGCGCGCACGAAGAGCUCCGGGUACCGGCCCGUCGCCAUGGGGCCCUUGUCCAUGGGGAGCAGGUCCUGCGCCUCGAUGACGGACACACGGAGGUACCAGAGCUUGGGGGCGACGUACACCUUGGACUUGAUGGAUCCCAGGGGGCCGUGGCCCUGGACGCCGGCGGCCUUGGAGUGCCACGCCUCGGCGAAGGCCUCGUCGGCCUGCGUGCCGUACCAAACGGCGACCAUCAGCUCCACGCUACCGCGCUCGCCCUUGCGGUCCUCCAUGGCGUACCACUGCGGCGCCAGCGUGCUGUCCGGUGGCGCGCGGCGGGGCACCUCGGAGAGGUCGAACCAGAUGCGGCCGACGUGGUCGUCGCUGCCGCGUGCGCGCACGAAGACCUCGACGAACGAGGACUGGAUGGUCUCCUUGGAGAAGGCGAAGACCUGGUCCCACUGGUGCGCGGCGGCCGGCGGCGUGACGCCGCGGUAGUUCCCGAGCUUGACCUCCGCCACGGCCUCCCCGGGCGUGGCCACGCCGCGCGCGCGCACGACGCGCACGUACAGGUACUGCAUCUGCUCGACCAGGUCGUAGGUGGCGCUCGCCUUGUCGGCCGUCAGCCCGCCGCCGAGGUGUGGCCGCGUCUCCUUGAGGGAGAAGUCCGCGGGCCCGCCGGGGAACAUGGCCGGGACGGGGUAGUGGUCGGCGAGCAUGACCGGCUUCAUGGCCGCCGGCUGCGGCUGCGGCUGCGGCAUGACGUCCAUGGGCUGCUGGGGCUGCUGCGGCGGCUGCUGCGGCCGCGCGGCCACCACCGGCUGUUGGUGCUGGUGAUGCUGGUGAUGCUGCUGCUGCUGGUGGUGAUGCUUCUUGCCCCCAUUCACAGGCGGCGCGGCGACGACCUCGGGCCCACUCACCACCGCCUUGGCCGGCUUCUCCUGCUUGCCCUUGGCGACCACCUCCCCAGCCCCGGCGCCGGCGCGGUAAAUCUUGAGCGUGAUCUCGCCGCGGAUAUGCGAGAAGAGGCUGCGCUUCUCGAGCGUGAAGAGCUGCGGCACGACGGGCUCCCCAGGCGCGGGCACGCCGGCGGCGGGGACGCGCACCUUGCCGAGGAAGUUGCGGCCGUGGGGGCCGCUCCCGGAGGCGGAGGCGGAGGCGGCGCGGUCGUUGUAGACGGCGACGUCGAUGGCGCGGUAGGGGAGGUCGUCGGGGUCGGCGACGGGGAAGACGAGGCGCUCGUUCCAGACGGGGUUGAGCUCCCUGGGCCUGGGCCUGGUGCGGCGCUUCUGGUGCUCGAACUCCACCUCCACGUAGGCCGACGAGGAGCCCUGCCCGUCCUUGGGCAUCAGGUUGUGCGCCGCCACCACCUCCACCACCAGCCUCUCCGCCUUGGCCAUCGCUCCCCUCACCAAGAUUCAAACUCGCUCGGAGAACGGAGGAGGGAGAAGAGGAGGGUUCUUGCUGUGGGUUGGGGAAUGGAUGGAUGGAUGGCUAUGCGGGGAACGAGGUGGUGGAGGAGGAGGCGGGCGCGCGUGGUGGAAUCUCCAUCAUCAUCGCAGUCGAUGGGGAGGGGAGAGGGGGGUUGGGCUGCUGCUGCUGCUGCUCUGCUCGGUGCUGCUGCAGCUCGGGUGGUGGUGGUGGUGCUCUGCUGCGGUUGGCUUUGGCUUUGGGUGGUUUUUGAGGCGGGGUUUUGGCGUUUGGGUUUGGGCUGCUCUUCAACGCGGCCAUCUUUCUUCUUUGGAAGGCGGAAAAGUGGGGAUUUGAUAUGCGAAUUAACCCAGCGAAAUUAAUCCAUUCAUCAAUUGGUACCAAGAUCUCAUAGUAACGGGCCUAACGGCUAAUCAAUCCGUGCUUCAAAAAGUCAGCCCUUCAUCCAAUUUUGGAGAUUCAGCAUCUCUUUAAAAAAAUACUCGUUCUGUAAAUUAAUACUCCAUCUGUAAAAUAUGAAGUUAUCCUUGUUAUUUUGCUAAGAUAGAUAUGUCUCGUUUGGUUAUGUUCCUCGUGAAUAUUAACUUGUGGUAAAAUAAGAAAUUAUCUUUAUUAUUUUGUCAAAUAGUUUCUAUGCUUAAUUGAUUUUAUUAAGAUAGAUAUAUGUUCUUUUUAGUUUAACUUUACCAUUCUUGUUAGCCAGCACUUAUCCUUCAUGGCUUCAAUAACAAGAAGUUUACUACCAUCGUCUUGUAUAUUCCAUCACAUUGUGGAGUAUGUGUGUUGGUUAUUGUAUUAGAGUCGAUUUACAUCUUAUAUUUCCAUUUGACAACAGAAAUAGAGUCAUAAUGAUUAUCAAACUAAAUUCAACGAAGGACUCCACUACGGAGCGGCGCCGCACAUGUGCGCUCCCGUGCGGCGGCAGGUUGCCAGCCUGGCCUGUCUUUUUUCAACUCUUCCUCCCGAUCCCAGCAGCUUCUUUUUUUGUCUCAUACACUUGUUUCCAUAAAUAUCUUCCCACACCACCAUCAAUCCCACAACCACCCCAGAUCCCCCACCCCGUAAUCCCUCCCGUCUUCUUCCUCCCUCCCCAAUAGCCUCCACUGGCGUAAAAACAAGAUCUGAAGGGCGGAAAACAACAGAACAAGCAGCAAAAAAGAUGACAUCUCGAGUGAUCCAAGUUAUAAACUUACGGAAAUCAAAAAUAACAGGUACACAAAGUAGCAAAAAUAACAGGUACGCAAGUGCCUCGUCCCAGGUCCCUUGCAAGAAACAUGAAUCUACUUACAAAUUACUGCCCCUUAAUUCUUGCACAAAGAAAAUCCUACGGAAAAUCUCUUGUUUCUCCCCCAAAACAGAACUUCUCUUUUCUGCCCCUCAGAUAUGCACCUCUCUUUCUCCCUUCGGAUCUUCAUCAUCUGAUUUGCUUUUCAAUUCCUGUUCCAGAACAAAAAAAAUCGGAAAAAAAUUAGCUAAUAUAUUGUCUUCGUAUCACACAAAAACAUGCAGGGAGGAAGGACUUCCCAAGAAACAACAAGGGACACGCCACAUAAAAGAUGGAUUCUUACAUUCUAGCUGCUCAUGACACAGGUUUGUUCCCCCCUCCCUAGAGUUUCCAAUUUAUUUGUACCACCACCACCAUCUAGUUGUAUUUUUGCUGCUACCGUAAUUCCUUAAAAAAGGCCUUCAAGCCUAAUCACUAACUUAACAAGUCUUUUUAUGUUCUCUGCUAUUUCACACCUAGUUGCUGCAUAGAAAAUGCAGUAGUUGUUAGUAUAAUUGUGCCUAGUUUAUAAGAAAACAAAAUGCCAAUUUCUUUUGUUGGUUGUUGAAUAACUCCAUGCACCUAGUUGUCAGAAAAAAUGUGCCUAGUUACCAUGAAAAAAUGGCAGUUCCUUUCUUGCUACUUAAAAUGUUGGUUUCAUGUAGAAUAUCCUAUAAAAAAAUACCAAAAAUGGCAAUACCAAAGGUUCUGAAUACACAAAAUGUUUUCUAGUUUACCAUGAAAAAAAACUGGAUUAUUUCAAAAUACUUUGUUCCUAAUAGUUGUGCAAAAAUACAUAUUUCACAUGCCUCCCUGUUUUGAAAAAGAUGUACCUGAUUACCAGUUUUGAAGAAAAAGAUGCACAAUUGUGAGUUUCUAAAAAAAUGUUACUAAAUUGGUUAUGUGUGUUAUGCAGAUUGUGAGACUAUUAGUGCAUGACACACUGUGUUACAACAACCGGCAAACACAGAGCAGACGUUGGAUGCAUCAUCUAAUCGCACACCAAAUGAUGAUAAUGCAAAUGAGGAUGAAGGCAUAUCGGAGGUGAUGUCCAUGCCACAGCAACCCACAACCACGAUGAGGUUUGACACUCUUGAGGAUGCUGAAAAACACUACAAAAUGUAUGCGAGGCAGAAAGGGUUUAGAGUGAGGUACUUUUUCAGAGAAAAAAAAGUCAGAGGCGAGUGGUGAACUAAUAAGAGCAUCCCUUGUGUGCCAUACAGCUGGGAUGAAGAUCAAGAAGAAAGUAGACACCCAAAACCUGCAACCUAUUGCCCCUGAGAGGUGGAGGAAUACAACUGAAGGAACAAACUGCACGACCCGUAUGUUUGUCAAGCGAAGAGAUAAUUCCUGGGUUGUUACAGAAAUAAAUGACGACCAUAACCACCCUCUCAUCAAGAAGUUGUUGCUGACACGGUACCUAUGAUCACAUAGACAUAUCCCCGAAGAAGAAGAACAGUUUGUGAAGUUGCUUCAUUUGUGCAAUCUGGAACCUUUUAGACAUAUGCCGUUUUUGACAAAGUUGCAUGGCCAACGUGAAGCAAUUGGUUACACUCACAAAGACUUGGCAAACUUGCUGGCAAAGUUUCGGGCUAAGCAUAAAUAAAGUGAUAUGCAGGACAGAAUUGAGUACUUUAAGGGAAAGCAACAACUUGACAAAGACUUAUUUUUCAAGUACAAGCUUGAUGAUGAUGAUAAGGUCCAAUGCAUUUAUUGGAUUGAUGGUUCAGCGAGAAGGGCUUGCAAGUUUUUCAGUGAUUGUGUCUCUUUUGACACAACAUAUUUGACAAAUAUAUACAAGAUGCCUUGUGCCCCAUUUAUUGGUAUAAACAACCAUGGACAGUCAAUUCAGUUUGGUUGUGGUUUUGUUAGGAAUUAGUUAUCGACAAGCUUCGUUUGGCUAUUUGAGACAUUCCUAGAAGCAAUGGGUGGUUUGGCCUCAACCAAUAUCAUAACAGACCAAGAUUAUGCCAUGAGGUCUGGUAUGUUUUUCCGAAUACAACGCAUCGAAAUUGUCCUUGGCAUAUAAUGCAAAAUGCUACCGAGAAGCCUAGUCCGUUCCUAGAGAAACACCCAGAGUUGCAAACCAAGUUCAAUGACCGUGUAAAUGACAGCUACACUCCUGAGGAGUUUGAAGCAAGGUGGAUUGCAAUGAUUCAGCAACAUGGGGUUGCAGAACACCCAAACUUUGUUUAUUUGUAUGAGAAACGAACAUGUUGGGUGCCCGCAUACUUUAUGCACAAGUUCUACCCCUUUCUCCAGACCACGCAAAGGAGUGAAGGCUUCAAUGUUGCGCUCAAAAAGUAUGUCAACCCACAAAACUCAACAAUGGACUUUAUUCGCCAAUAUGCUGCCAUACAAGAGAAGAUAAUGUGUGCUGAGAAGAAGCGGGAUGAAGACACAACAAUCACAACAGCUAGGAAGUGAAGUUACAACCCAAUUGAGCUCCAAAUGUAAACUAUCUAUACGCGCAAUAUGUUUGUUAGGUUCCACGGGGAGAUGCAGUCACUGUUGCCGUAGAGCUGUAAGCAGACACGUGCCCAGGAAUACAUGGAUGAGUGUAUUGCUAAGUUUGUCCCGGGGUACAGCGAUAAGUCCUUUAAGGUACAUGCGAGUUUUUAAGAAGGGGUGUAUAUGUGUGAAUGAUGCAAGUAUGAGCGUGAUGGGAUCGUCUGUUGCCAUAUACUAAGGGUAAAACACACAAAUUAUACGCACAUUUUGUUGGGGAACGUUGCAUGAAAAACAAAAAAUUCCUACGCACAUGAAGACCUAUUAUGGUGAUGUCCAUCUACGAGUGGAGAUUAGAUCUACAUACCCUUGUAGAUCGUUCAGCGGGAAGCGUUAAGAAACGUAGUUGAUAUAGUGGAACGUCUUCACGUCCUUCGAACCGCCCCAUUACGCUGUAGUGUUCCAGGCGGUGUCAACUGUGAAACAAUUCCACAUUGUCUUAAGUGAGCACCAAACUCGAAACUCAGAUAUUCACCCCCACGAUCAGACCGUAGGAACUUGAUCUUCUUGUUACGAUGAUUUUCAACUUCACUCUGAAAUUGCUUGAACUUUUCAAAUGUUUCAGACUUGUGCUUCAUUAAGUAGACAUAACCAUAUCUACUCAAAUCGUCAAUGAAGGUGAGAAAAUAACGAUAUCCGCUGCGUGCCUCCACGCUCAUCGGACCGCACACAUCGGUAUGUAUGAUUUCCAAUAAGUCACUGGCACGCUCCAUUGUUCCGGAGAACGGAGUUUUAGUCAUCUUGCCCAUGAGGCAUGGUUCGCACGUGUCAAGUGAAUAAAAGUCAAGUGACUCCAAAAGUCCAUCGGUAUGGAGUUUCUUCAUGCUUUACACCAAUAUGACCUAAGCGGCAGUGCCACAAAAACAUGGCGCUAUCAUUGUUAACUCUAACUCUUUUGGUCUCAAUGUUAUGUAUAUGUGUAUCACUAUCAAGAUUCAAUAUGAACAAUCCUCUCACAUUGGGUGCAUGACCAUAAAAGAUGUUACUCAUAGAAAUAGAACAACCAUUAUUCUCUGACUUAAAAUAGUAACCGUCUCGCAAUAAACAAGAUCCAGAUAUAAUGUUCAUGCUCAACGCAGGCACUAAAUAACAAUUAUUCAAGUUCAUAACUAAUCCCGAUGGUAACUGAAGUGAAACUGUGCCGACGGCGAUUGUAUCAACCUUGGAACCAUUUCCUACGUGCAUCGUCACUUCAUCUUUUGCCAGCCUUCGCCUAUUCCGUAGUUCCUGUUUCGAGUUGCAAAUAUGAGCAACAGAACCGAUAUCGAAUACCCAGGCACUACUACGAGAGCCGGUUAAGUACACAUCAAUAACAUGUAUAUCAAAUAUACCUGAUUUUUCUUUGGCCGCCUUCUUAUCAGCCAGAUACUUGGGGCAGUUGCGCUUCCAGUGACCCAUACCCUUGCAAUAGUAGCACUCUGUUUCAGGCUUAGGUCCAGCUUCGGGUUUCUUCGUCGGAUUGGCAACAUGCUUGCCGCUCUUCUUUGAAUUGCCCUUCUUGCCUUUGCCGUUUCUCUUGAAACUAGUGGUCUUAUUUACCAUCAACACUUGAUGCUCUUUACGGAGUUCAGACUCUGCGACUUUCAGCAUCGCAAACAACUCGCUGGGUGACAACACAAAGCCCUUAUAGCUUGGCGGCAGUGAUUGAAGAAUUAUGUCAGUGAUAGCCUCUUGCGGGAGUUCAAUCCCAGCUCAGCUAGACGGUUUGAGUACCCAGACAUUUUGAGCACAUGUUCACUGACAGACGAAUUCUCCUCCAUCUUGCAAGCAUAGAAUUUAUCGGAGGUCUCAUACCUCUCGAUCCGGGAGUUCUUCUGAAAGAUAAACUUCAACUCCUGGAACAUCUCAUAUGCUCCAUGACGAAGCGACGUUGAAGUCCCGGUUCUAAGCCAUACAAGACUGUACAUUGAACUACUGAGUAGUCCUCCUUACGCGUUAACCAAGCGUUCUUAGCAUCCUUGUCAGCCGUAGCGGGUGGUUCAUCUCCUAGCGCAGCAUUAAGGAGAUAAUCCUUCUUCCCAGCUUGUAGGAUCAACUUAAGAUUACGAGCCCAGUCUACAAAGUUGCUUCCAUCAUCUUUCAACUUAGCUUUCUCUAGGAACGUAUUAAAAUUCAGGGUGACUGUCGCGUGAGCCAUGAUCUACAACACAAAUAUAUUCAAAGUGGACUUAGACUAUGUUCAAGAUAAUUAGAGUUUAACUUAAUCAAAUUACUUUCUAAACUCCCACUCAAAAAGUACAUCUCUCUAGUCAUUUGAGUGGUUCAUGACCCACUUACACUAGCUCAAGUCCGAUUAUCACGUGAGUUGAGUAUAGUUUCAGUGGUAAGCAUCCCUAUGCUAAUCAUAUAAGCUAUAUGAUUCAUGAUCGACCUUUCGGUCUCAUGCGUUCAGAGGCCAUGUCUGCACAUGCUAGGCUCGUCAAGCUUAACCCGAGUGUUCCGCGUGUGCAACUGUUUUGCACCCGUUGUAUGUGAACGUUGAGUCUAUCACACCCGAUCAUCACGUGGUGUCUCGAAACGACGAACUGUAGCAACGGUGCAUAGUCGGGGAGAACACAAUUUCGUCUUGAAAUUUUAGUGAGAGAUCACCUCAUAAUGCUACCGUCGUUCUAAGCAAAAUAAGGUGCAUAAAAGGAUUAACAUCACAUGCAAUUCAUAAGUGACAUGAUAUGGCCAUCAUCACGUGCUCCUUGAUCUCCAUCACCAAAGCACCGGCACGAUCUUCUUGUCACCGGCGCCACACCAUGAUCUCCAUCAACGUGUUGCCAUCGGGGUUGUCGUGCUACUCAUGCUAUUACUACUAAAGCUACAUCCUAGCAAAAUAGUAAACGCAUCUGCAAGCACAAACGUUAGUUUAAAGACAACCCUAUGGCUCCUGCCGGUUACCGUACCAUCGACGUGCAAGUCGAUAUUAUCUAUUACAACAUGAUCAUCUCAUACAUCCAAUUGUUGGGGAACGUCGCAUGGGAAACAAAAAAUUUCCUACGCGCACGAAGACCUAUCAUGGUGAUGUCCAUCUACGAGAGGGGAUGAGUGAUCUACGUACCCUUGUAGAUCGUACAGCAGAAGCGUUAGAGAACGCGGUUGAUGUAGUGGAACGUCCUCACGUCCCUCGAUCCGCCCCGCGAACAAUCCCGCGAUCAGUCCCACGAUCUAGUACCGAACGGACGGCACCUCCGCGUUCAGCACACGUACAGCUCGACGAUGAUCUCGGCCUUCUUGAUCCAGCAAGAGAGACGGAGAGGUAGAAGAGUUCUCCGGCAGCGUGACGGCGCUCCGGAGGUUGGUGAUGAUCUCGUCUCAGCAGGGCUCCGCCCGAGCUCCGCAGAAACGCGAUCUAGAGGAAAAACUAUGGAGGUAUGUGGUCGGGCUGCCGUGGCAAAAGUUGUCUCAAAUCAGCCCUAAUACCUUAGUAUAUAUAGGAGGGAGGGGGAGGGAAGAGGCAGCCUCAAACCCUCAAGGUUUGGCCGAAAUUGGAGGUGGAGGAGUCCUACUCCAAUCCUACUUGGAGUAGGAUUCCACCUUCCCACUUGGAAACUCUUUCCACCUUGUGUUUUUUCCUUCUCAAACCUUAUGGGCCUUAGUGGGAACUUAUUCCAGCCCACUAGGGGCUGGUUUAUCUCUUCCCAUAGCCCAUGAGACCCCUUGGGGCGUGACACCCCUCCCGAUGGUCCCCGGCACCCCUCCCGGCACUCCCGGUACAGUACCGAUGAGCCCGAAACUUUUCCGGUAAUGCACGAAAACCUUCCGGUAACCAAAUGGGGUCAUCCUAUAUAUCAAUCUUCGUUUCCGGACCAUUCCGGAAACCCUCGUGACGUCCGUGAUCUCAUCCGGGACUCCGAACAACAUUCGGUAACCAACCAUAUAACUCAAAUACGCAUAAAACAACGUCGAACCUUAAGUGUGCAGACCCUGCGGGUUCGAGAACUAUGUAGACAUGACCCGAGAGACUCCUCGGUCAAUAUCCAAUAGCGGGACCUGGAUGCCCAUAUUGGAUCCUACAUAUUCUACGAAGAUCUUAUCGUUUGAACCUCAGUGCCAAGGAUUCGUAUAAUCCCGUAUGUCAUUCCCUUUGUCCUUCGGUAUGUUACUUGCCCGAGAUUCGAUCGUCAGUAUCCGCAUACCUAUUUCAAUCUCGUUUACCGGCAAGUCUCUUUACUCGUUCCGUAAUACAAGAUCCCGCAACUUACACUAAGUUACAUUGCUUGCAAGGCUUGUGUGUGAUGUUGUAUUACCGAGUGGGCCCCGAGAUACCUCUCCGUCACACGGAGUGACAAAUCCCAGUCUUGAUCCAUACUAACUCAACUAACACCUUCGGAGAUACCUGUAGAGCAUCUUUAUAGUCACCCAGUUACGUUGCGACGUUUGAUACACACAAAGCAUUCCUCCGGUGUCAGUGAGUUAUAUGAUCUCAUGGUCAUAGGAAUAAAUACUUGACACGCAGAAAACAGUAGCAACAAAAUGACACGAUCAACAUGCUACGUCUAUUAGUUUGGGUCUAGUCCAUCACGUGAUUCUCCCAAUGACGUGAUCCAGUUAUCAAGCAACAACACCUUGUUCAUAAUCAGAAGACACUGACUAUCAUCGAUCAACUGGCUAGCCAACUAGAGGCAUGCUAGGGAUGGUGUUUUGUCUAUGUAUCCACACAUGUAAAUGAGUCUUCAUUCAAUACAAUUAUAGCAUGGAUAAUAAACUAUUAUCUUGAUACAGGAAUUAUAAUAAUAACUAUACAUUUAUUAUUGCCUCUAGGGCAUAAUUCCAACAGUCUCCCACUUGCACUAGAGUCAAUAAUCUAGCCCUCACAUCACCAUGCGAAUUACAUUGUAAUAAAUCUAACACCCAUACAGUUCUGGUGUCGAUCAUGUUUUGGCCGUGGAAGAGGUUUAGUCAGCGGGUCUGCUACAUUCAGAUCCGUGUGCACCUUGCAUAUAUUUACGUCCUCCUCCUCGACGUAGUCGCGGAUGAGGUUGAAGCGUCGUUUGAUGUGUCUGGUCUUCUUGUGAAACCUUCGUUCCUUUGCUAAGGCAAUGGCACCAGUGUUGUCACAGAACAAGGUUAUUGGAUCCAGUGCACUUGGCACCACUCCAAGAUCCGUCAUGAACUGCUUCAUCCAGACACCUUCCUUAGCCGCCUCCGAGGCAGCCAUGUACUCUGCUUCACAUGUAGAAUCUGCUACGACGCUUUGCUUGGAACUGCACCAGCUUACUGCACCCCCAUUAAGAAUAAAUACGUAUCCGGUUUGUGACUUAGAGUCGUCCGGAUCUGUGUCAAAGCUUGCAUCGACGUAACCUUUUACGGCGAGCUCUUCGUCACCUCCAUACACGAGAAACAUCUCCUUAGUCCUUUUCAGGUACUUCAGGAUAUUCUUGACCGCCGUCCAGUGAUCCACUCCUGGAUUACUCUGGAACCUGCCUGCCAUACUUAUGGCCAGGCUAACAUCCGGUCUAGUGCACAGCAUCGCAUACAUGAUAGAACCUAUGGCUGAAGCAUAGGGGACGGAGCGCAUAUGCUCUCUAUCUUCAUCAGUUGCUGGGCACUGAGUCUUACUCAAUCUCGUACCUUGUAACACCGGCAAGAACCCUUUCUUGGACUGUUCCAUUUUGAACCUCUUCAAAACUUUCUCAAGGUAUGUGCUUUGUGAAAGUCCUAUCAGGCGUUUUGAUCUAUCCCUAUAGAUCUUAAUGCCUAGAAUGUAAGCAGCUUCUCCUAGGUCCUUCAUAGAGAAACUUUUAUUCAAGUAACCUUUUAUGCUCUCCAAAAGCUCUACGUUGUUUCCAAUCAGUAAUAUGUCAUCCACAUAUAAUAUUAGAAACGCCACAGAGCUCCCACUCACUUUCUUGUAAAUACAAGAUUCUCCAACCACUUGUAUAAACCCAAAUGCUUUGAUCACCUCAUCAAAGCGUUUGUUCCAACUCCGAGAUGCUUGCACCAGUCCAUAAAUGGAUCGCUGGAGUUUGCACACUUUGUCAGCAUUUUUAGGAUCGACAAAACCUUCGGGUUGCAUCAUAUACAACUCUUCCUUAAGGAAACCGUUAAGGAACGCCGUUUUGACAUCCAUCUGCCAGAUUUCAUAAUCGAAAAAUGCAGCUAUUGCUAACAUGAUUCUGACGGACUUAAGCAUCGCUACAGGAGAGAAAGUCUCAUCGUAGUCAAUUCCUGGAACUUGUGAAAAACCCUUUGCCACAAGUCGAGCUUUAUAAACGGUCACAUUACCGUCAGCGUCCGUCUUCUUCUUAAAGAUCCAUUUGUUCUGAAUAGCCUUGCGGCCCUCAGGCAGUAUCUCCAAAGUCCAUACUUUGUUCUCAUACAUGGAUCCUAUCUCGGAUUUCAUGGCUUCUAGCCAUUUGUUGGAAUCUGGGCCCACCAUCGCUUCUUCAUAAUUUGCAGGUUCAUUGUUGUCUAACAACAUGAUUGAUAAGACGGGAUUACCGUACCACUCUGGAGCAGCGCGUGAUCUCGUCGACCUGCGUGGUUCAACAGAAACUUGAACUGGAGUUUCAUGAUCAUCAUCAUUAACUUCCUCCUCAACCGGCGUCGCAACGACAGAGGUUUCCCCUUGCCCUGCGCCACCAUCCAGAGGGAUGAGAGGUUCGACAACCUCGUCAAGUUCUAUCUUCCUCCCACUCAAUUCUCUCGAGAGAAACUCCUUCUCGAGAAAAGUUCCGUUCUUAGCAACAAACACUUUGCCCUCGGAUUUGAGAUAGAAGGUGUACCCAACUGUCUCUUUUGGGUAACCUAUGAAGACGCACUUUUCCGCUUUGGGUUCCAGCUUUUCAGGCUGAAGCUUUUUGACAUAAGCAUCACAUCCCCAAACUUUAAGAAACGACAACUUUGGCCUUUUGCCAUACCACAGUUCGUAUGGUGUCGUCUCAACGGAUUUCGAUGGUGCCCUAUUUAAAGUGAAUGCAGCUGUUUCUAAUGCAUAACCCCAAAAUGAUAACGGCAAAUCAGUAAGAGACAUCAUAGAUCGCACCAUUUCUAAUAAAGUACGAUUACGACGUUCGGACACACCAUUACGCUGUGGUGUUCCGGGCGGUGUUAACUGCGAAACAAUUCCACAUUGUCUUAAGUGAGUACCAAACUCGAAACUCAGAUAUUCACCCCCACGAUCAGACCGUAGGAACUUGAUCUUCUUGUUACGAUGAUUUUCCACUUCACUCUGAAAUUGCUUGAACUUUUCAAAUGUUUCAGACUUGUGCUUCAUCAAGUAGACAUAACCAUAUCUACUUAGAUCGUCAGUGAAGGUGAGAAAAUAACGAUAUCCGCCGCGUGCCUCCACGCUCAUUGGACCACACACAUCGGUAUGUAUGAUUUCCAACAAGUCACUUGCACGCUCCAUUGUUCCGGAGAACGGAGUCUUAGUCAUCUUGCCCAUGAGGCAUGGUUCGCACGUGUCAAGUGAAUCAAAGUCAAGUGACUCCAAAAGUCCAUCAGCAUGGAGUUUCUUCAUGCGCUUUACACCAAUAUGACCCAAGCGGCAGUGCCACAAAAAUAUGGCGCUAUCAUUGUUUACUCUAACUCUUUUGGUCUCAAUGUUAUGUAUAUGCGUAUCUCUAUCAAGAUUCAAUAUGAACAAUCCUCUCACAUUCGGUGCAUGACCAUAAAAGAUGUUACUCAUAGUAAUAGAACAACCAUUAUUCUCAGACUUAAAAGAGUAACCGUCUCGCAAUAAACAAGAUCCAGAUAUAAUGUUCAUGCUCAACGCAGGCACUAAAUAACAAUGAUUUAAGUUCAUCACUAAUCCCGAUGGUAGUUGAAGUGACACUGUGCCGACGGCGAUUGCAUCAACCUUGGAACCGUUUCCUACGCGCAUCGUCACUUCGUCUUUCGCCAGCCUUCGUCUAUUCCGCAGUUCCUGCUUCGAGUUGCAAAUGUGAGCAACAGAACCGGUAUCGAAUACCCAGGCACUACUACGAGAGCUGGUUAAGUACACAUCAAUAACAUGUAUAUCAAAUAUACCUGAUUUUUCUUUGCCCGCCUUCUUAUCUGCCAGAUACUUGGGGCAAUUGCGCUUCCAGUGACCCAUACCCUUGCAAUAGAAGCACUCUGUUUCAGGCUUAGGUCCAGCCUUGGGUUUCUUCGGCGGAUUGGCAACAGGCUUGCCGCUCUUCUUCGAAUUGCCCUUCUUGCCUCUGCCGUUUCUCUUGAAACUAGUGGUCUUGCUCACCAUCAACACUUGAUGUUCUUUACGGAGUUCAGACUCUGCGACUUUCAGCAUCGCAAACAACUCGCCGGGAGACUUGUUCAUCCCUUGCAUGUUGUAGUUCAACACAAAGCCUUUAUAGCUUGGCGGCAGUGAUUGAAGGAUUCUGUCAGUGAUAGCUUCUUGCGGGAGUUCAAUCCCCAGUUCAGCUAGACGGUUUGAGUACCCAGACAUUUUGAGCACAUGUUCACUGACAGACGAGUUUUCCUCCAUCUUGCAAGCAUAGAAUUUAUCGGAGGUCUCAUACCUCUCGAUCCGGGCGUUCUUCUGAAAGAUGAACUUCAACUCCUGGAACAUCUCAAAUGCUCCAUGACGCUCAAAGCGACGUUGAAGUCCCGGUUCUAAGCCAUACAAGACUGCACAUUGAACUAUUGAGUAGUCCUCCUUACGCGCUAACCAAGCGUUCUUAACAUCCUGAUCAGCCGUAGCGGGUGGUUCAUCUCCUAGCGCAGCAUUAAGGACAUAAUCCUUCUUUCCAGCUUGUAAGAUUAGCUUAAGAUUACGAGCCCAGUCUACAAAGUUGCUUCCAUCAUCUUUCAACUUAGCUUUCUCUAGGAACGUAUUAAAAUUGAGGAUGACACUUGCGUGAGCCAUGAUCUACAACACAAAUAUAUUCAAAGUGGACUUAGACUAUGUUCAAGAUAAUUAGAGUUCAACUUAAUCAAAUUAGAUGCUAAACUCCCACUCAAAAAGUACAUCUCUCUAGUCAUUUGAGUGGUUCAUGAUCCACCUACACUAUCCCAAGUCCGAUCAUCACGUGAGUCGGGAGUAGUUUCAGUGGUAAGCAUCCCUAUGCUAAUCAUAUCAUCUAUAUGAUUCAUGAUCGACCUUUCGAUCUCAUGUGUUCCGAGGCCAUGUCUGCACAUGCUAGGCUCGUCAAGCUUAACCCGAGUGUUCCGCGUGCGCAACUGUUUUGCACCCGUUGUAUGUGAACGUUGAGUCUAUCACACCCGAUCAUCACGUGGUGUCUCGAAACGACGAACUGUAGCAACGGUGCACAGUCGGGGAGAACACAAUUUCGUCUUGAAAUUUUAGUGAGAGAUCACCUCAUAAUGCUACCGUCGUUCUAAGCAAAAUAAGGUGCAUAAAAGGAUUAACAUCACAUGCAAUUCAUAAGUGACAUGAUACGGCCAUCAUCACGUGCUUCUUGAUCUCCAUCACCAAAGCACCGGCACGAUCUUCUUGUCACCGGCGCCACACCAUGAUCAUCCAUCAACGUGUUGCCAUCGGGGUUGUCGUGCUACUUAUGCUAUUACUACUAAAGCUACAUCCUAGCAAAAUAGUAAACGCAUCUGCAAGCACAAACGUUAGUAUAAAGACAACCCUAUGGCUCCUGCCGGUUGCCGUACCAUCGACAUGCAAGUCGAUAUUUCUAUUACAACAUGAUCAUCUCAUACAUCCAAUAUAUCACAUCACAUUGUUGGCCAUAUGACAUCACAAUCAUACCCUGCAAAAACAAGUUAGACGUCCUCUAAUUUUGUUGUUGCAUGUUUUACGUGGUGACCAAGGGUAUCUAGUAGGAUCGCAUCUUACUUACGCAAACACCACAACGGAGAUAUAUGAGUUGCUAUUUAACCUCAUCCAAGGACCUCCUCGGUCAAAUCCGAUUCAACUAAAGUUGGAGAAACCGUCACUUGCCAGUCAUCUUUGAGCAAAGGGGGUUACUCGUAACGAUGAAACCAGUCUCUCGUAAGCGUACGAGUAAUGUCGGUCCAAGCCGCUUCAAUCCAACAAUACCGCGGAAUCAAGAAAAGACUAAGGAGGGCAGCAAAACGCACAUCACCGCCCACAAAAACUUUUGUGUUCUACUCGAGAAGACAUCUACGCAUGAACCUAGCUCAUGAUGCNNNNNNNNNNNNNNNNNNNNNNNNNNNNNNNNNNNNNNNNNNNNNNNNNNNNNNNNNNNNNNNNNNNNNNNNNNNNNNNNNNNNNNNNNNNNNNNNNNNNACCGCGCGGCCGAGGCGACGACGACGCUGCGCAUGCGGCGCGGGGCGGCUUGGAGCGCGAGGCUGGAGGCGGCUGAGACGGCCAUGGCCGGCGGUGAGGUGUGCCGGGCUCGCGCGCGUCUGCUCGAUCGGCUCGGCCUCAGGCGCGCGUGCGGUGAGGAGUGGCGGUGUGUGUGGCGCGGAGGAGGCUGCUCCUCCUCUCGUAGUGGGGCUGGGAGGAUGUGGUGGACACCGGUGGGUUUGGUUGGUUGCCUCUCGUCGCGCCAACGAGGAGCGGACAUGUCACGCUCACACCAGACAAGUGGCUCCCGAUGUGGCCGCGGCUGGGCUUCUCAAGCAGUCAAGCUCGUGACGGCGACUUCCGGCACGACUCACGAAGACGUGGCGGUGAGCCGGACCGUCAAGCAGCUGCUCCGGUAGCGCCGCACAUGGAGCCCUGCGGUGCUCGGGUCCAUGAACGGCAACCGGCAGCCGUUGCUUUAUUUGCUACUUGCUCCAGUGAUUGAGCACAUAAGCAGAUUAAUCUUCCAUCAGCACUUGCACUUCUAGCAGUGAUUUUACUCCUGUUUUAGACUAUAACCAAUACUUAUAUUUCAGUAUUGUUUUCUGUUGAGUACCAAUGUAUUCGAGAUCUUAAGUUGAUGUAAUAUGUUUCCACGUUUAUCACGUGUCGAGAUUAAUUACGUCCAUUUGCAAUUGAGAUUUUUAAUCUCUUGCAAAGAUAAAUUCAGUACAUCUACAGUACUGAUUUGCGAUUGAAAAUUUUAUUCUUCCGCAAAACAAUCUCAUUGUGGUUGAGAUUAAUCUCUCUCGCGAAACAUAUUAAUUCACCAUGGUUAAUUAUCUUGCAAUUUGAUACAAGAUCAUCUCAUUUAAUAUGAAGUCUAUACAAUUCAAGUUUUUCACUUGAUCAUCAAGUUUGCAACAUCAUUACUAUUCAUUACAAUAGUAGUGUAUAUCUGUAGAGUACAUUGUAUUCCAGAAUAAAUUGUGAUGUAAUAAAUUUCCAUGUUAUUCUAUAUGUCGAGAUUAUUUACAUCUGUUAUUUGCAAUUGAGAUAUUCAAUUUCUUGCAAAUAAAAAUCAAUUCAUUUUAAUUGAGCCAUUGGCUUGAUACGAGCAAGAAUUGAUAUCCAAAUUCUUAGUGUUGUUUUUCAAAUUGAUAUUUUGAGAAUCACAAGGUAGUGUGUAGAUCUACCGCUUUGCAGAUCAUCACCACUACUAUUAAAGCCUGCAUUUUGUCACUUUGACAAUAUGAUUGCUUUACAAAAUGUCCUCCCCACAUAUUUCACUAAGUCAUGACAUAAGGCAUUACGAGUGAGUAUAUACUGAUUUCAUCGGAUUAUACUCCCUAGUGCUGCGAGAUCCACUCCAUUUUGAAGAUUAUCUUCAAAGUGUCAUACUUAGCAAUUUGAGAUUCACGUUAAUGGUCUCAAGAUAACUUCUUGAAAUACUCAUUAAUUUUGCUAAGCUCACUACAACAUUAACCAUGGUAGUCUUUAAUUUACUAACCGUAAAUUAAUUAUCUCUCGUAACUGAUGGCUAGAGAAUUUGAGGCAUUCGCGCCUCAAUAGCCACCACUGCCUUUCCAUGGGCCAAGGAAAUUAUGAUCACUCUUGAGUCUCGUGGGAUAAUGUGUGAAAUCCAAAACUGUAAGAUUUAUCUAUGGUCAGGAUCACACCGCUAACAGAAAAAUGUUGUCUUAUACAUAAUAAGGCGUUAUAUUGGUUCAGGUCUUAGCAUCUGGUUAUUCCGUAUCAACAAUUCCUGGGCACAAUGAACCUCAAGGGCAAAGGCUUGAAGCUCACUUCAACCUUCAACCUGACAUCACUAAUGAUGACGGAUCCUAUGUGCAUGGAGAAUGUGUGGUUCAUUAUGCCUCAACCGACAUGUUUGGAGAUUAUGAGUAGUCUCUCAAUCUCAAUGUACAAAUACAUUUGUAUGUAUUCUAUAUAUCCGACAGUGAAUUUUUGAGAAUCAUCAUGCCUAUAUAUAGAUUUCUACGAGGGUCAAUCUGAUGAAAGAUGAAUUGUGCAUUAUGGACAUAUGCGCCACGGACUCUAUACUCAGGAAAGUCCAAUGUUUUCACUCUCGUUGAGAGAAAGGAGAUAUUUUAAAAUCGCUAGACGUGAUGAGGUAUUUGUUGGCUCAACUUGAGUCAUAUUUACUAUCCCUGUGGGUACUCGAGUAACGUCGGGAUGCUUUAUUGCUUCCCAGAUUUAACUCGUACCCUACUAAACUAUAGAGGUAUCCGUCAAAAUAGUUCCCAUAGCGAAACUUAUGAUGACAGCAACGAAUAUGGCAGGCAAAUUUUUUAUGUAUCAUCUGAAUUGUACUACACAUACGACACAACCCGUAGCACAUGUUGCGUAUGAGAUAGUUUUCCAGAGUAUCUUGUACAUGACAAACUUGGCAUUCUCGCCUUGGUCAUCGAGAUAUUGGGUUGAAAGCGAAAGUAUCACCAAUUCCAAUAGUUUAUGAUUAUUAUGAUGCUAAAUUCUAACAGUAUUUGGAUUUUGUGUGCACUACAUGUGACACAAGGAAGCUAAUUUUAAGGCUCGCGCACCUUAAAGUCUAUGCUGAACCACUCAGACUCCUUGAAUGCAUCAAGUCGAGGUAAGUGGCUCUUCCCAUCCAUUGACUAGACCAUUUAGGUAUUCCAUGGUUCUAAAAGCCAUAUCUAUAUGAUUGUCUCAAGUGUGAUUUAUUCACAUGAAACCAUUGGUGAUGGGAAACGUCGCAUGGGAAACAAAAAAAAAUUCCUACGCGCACGAAGACCUAUCAUGGUGAUGUUCGACUACGAGAGGGGAUUUCCGAUCUACGUACCCUUGUAGAUCGCACAGCAGAAGCGUUAGUGAACGCGGUUGAUGUAGUGGAACGUCCUCACGUCCCUCGAUCCGCCCCGCAAACCGUCCCACGAACCGUCCCGCGAUCCGUCCCACGAUCUAGUGCCGAACGGAUGGCACCUCCGCGUUCAGCACACGUACAGCUCGACGAUGAUCUCGGCCUUCUUGAUCCAGCAAGAGAGACGGAGAGGUAGAUGAGUUCUCCGACAGCGUGACGGCGCUCCGGAGGUUGGUGGUGAUCUGAUCUCGGCAGGGCUCCGCCCGAGCUCCGCAGAAACGCGAUCUAGAGGUAAAACCGUGGAAGUAUGUGGUCGGGCUGCCUUUGAAAAGUUGUCUCAAAUCAGCCCUAAUUGCUCCAUAUAUAUAGGAGGAGGGAGGGGAGGCUUGCCUUGAGGCUCAAGGAGCCCCAAGGGCUGCGCACCAAGGGGAGGAGGAGUCCUCCUCCAAUCCUAGUCCAACUAGGAUUGGAAAGUGGAGUCCUUCUCUCCUUUCCCACCUCCUUUUUUUCUUUCUCUUUGAUUUUCUAUCCUUCGCGCAUAGGGUCCUCUUGGGCUGCCCCACCAGCCCACCAAGGGCUGGUGCGCCACUCCCAAGGCCUAUGGGCUUCCCCGGGGUGGGUUGCCCCCCCGGUGAACACCCGGAACCCAUUCGUCAUUCCCGGUAACUCCGAAAACCUUCCGGUAAUCAAAUGAGGUCAUCCUAUAUAUCAAUCUUCGUUUCCGGACCAUUCUGGAAACCCUCGUGACGUCCGUGAUCUCAUCCGGGACUCCGAACAACAUUCGGUAACCAACCAUAUAACUCAAAUACGCAUAAAACAACGUCGAACCUUAAGUGUGCAGAACCUGCGGGUUCGAGAACUAUGUAUACAUGACCCGAGUGACUCCUCGGUCAAUAUCCAAUAGCGGGACCUGGAUGCCCAUAUUGGAUCCCACAUAUUCUAUGAAGAUCUUAUCGUUUGAACCUCAGUGCCAAGGAUUCAUAUAAUCCCGUAUGUCAUUCCCUUUGUCCUUCGGCAUGUUACUUGCCCGAGAUUCGAUCGUCGGUAUCCGCAUACCUAUUUCAAUCUCGUUUACCGGCAAGUCUCUUUACUCGUUCCGUAAUACAAGAUCCCGCAACUUACACUAAGUCACAUUGCUUGCAAGGCUUGUGUGUGAUGGUGUAUUACCGAGUGGGCCCCGAGAUACCUCUCCGUCACACGGAGUGACAAAUCCCAGUCUCGAUCCAUACUAACUCAACGAACACCUUCGGAGAUACCUGUAGAGCAUCUUUAUAGUCACCCCGUUACGUUGCGACGUUUGAUACACACAAAGCAUUCCUCCGGUGUCAGUGAGUUAUAUGAUCUCAUGGUCAUAGGAACAAAUACUUGACACGCAGAAAACAGUAGCAACAAAAUGACACGAUCAACAUGCUACGUCUAUUAGUUUGGGUCUAGUCCAUCACGUGAUUCUUCUAAUGACGUGAUCCAGUUAUCAAGCAACAACACCUUGUAUAUAAUCAGAAGACCCUGACUAUCUUUGAUGAACUGGCUAGCCAACUAGGGGCUUGCUAGGGAUAGUGUUUUGUCUAUGUAUCCACACAUGUAUAUAAGUCUUCAUUCAAUACAAUUAUAGCAUGGAUAAUAAACGAUUAUCUUGAUACAGGAAUUAUAAUAAUAACUAUAUUUAUUAUUGCCUCUAGGGCAUAAUUCCAACAGUCUCCCACUUGCACUAGAGUCAAUAAUCUAGCCCUCACAUCAUCAUGCGAAUUACAUUGUAAUAAAUCUAACACACAUACAGUUCUGGUGUUGAUCAUGCUUUGCCCGUGGAAGAGGUUUAGUCAGCGGGUCUGCUACAUUCAGAUCCGUGUGCACUUUGCAUAUAUUUACGUCCUCCCCUUCGACGUAGUCGCGGAUGAGGUUGAAGCGUCGUUUGAUGUGUCUGGUCUUCUUGUGAAACCGUGGUUCCUUUUCUAAGGCAAUGGCACCCGUGUUGUCACAGAACAAGGUUAUUGGAUUCAGUGCGCUUGGCACCACUCCAAGAUCCGUCAUGAACUGCUUCAUCCAGACACCCUCCUUAGCCGCCUCCGACGCAGCCAUGUACUCCGCUUCACAUGUAGAAUCAGCUACGACGCUUUGCUUGGAACUGCACCAGCUUACAGCACCCCCAUUAAGAAUAAAUACGUAUCCGGUCUGCGACUUAGAGUCGUCCGGAUCUGUGUCAAAGCUUGCAUCGACGUAACCCUUUACGGCGAGCUCUUCGUCACCUCCACACACGAGAAACAUCUCCUUAGUCCUUUUCAGGUACUUCAGGAUAUUCUUAACCGCCGUCCAGUGAUUCACUCCUGGAUUACUCUGGAACUUGCCUGCCAUACUUAUGGCCAGGCUAACGUCCGGUCUAGUGCACAACAUUGCAUACGUGAUAGAUCCUAUGGCUGAAGCAUAGGGGACGGUGCUCAUAUGCUCUCUAUCUUUAUCAGUUGCUGGGCACUGAGUCUUACUCAAUCUCGUACCUUGUAAAACUGGAAAGAACCCUUUCUUGGACUGUUCCAUUUUGAACCUUUUCAAAACUUUAUCAAGGUAUGUGCUUUGUGAAAGUCCUAUCAGGCGUUUCGAUCUAUCCCUGUAGAUCUUAAUGCCUAGAAUGUAAGCAGCUUCUCCUAGGUCCUUCAUAGAGAAACUUUUAUUCAAGUAAUCCUUUACGCUCUCCAAAAACUCUACAUUGUUUCCAAUCAGCAAUAUGUCAUCUACAUAUAAUAUCAGAAACGCCACAGAGCUCCCACUCACUUUCUUGUAAAUACAAGAUUCUCCAACCACUUGUAUAAACCCAAAUGCUUUGAUCACCUCAUCAAAGCGUUUGUUCCAACUCCAAGAUGCUUGCACCAGUCCAUAAAUGGAUCGCUGGAGCUUGCACACCUUGUUAGCAUUCUUAGGAUCGACAAAACCUUUGGGUUGCAUCAUAUACAACUCUUCCUUAAGGAAACCGUUAAGGAACGCCGUUUUGACAUCCAUCUGCCAGAUUUCAUAAUCGAAAAAUGCAGCUAUUGCUAACAUGAUUCUGACGGACUUAAGCAUCGCUACGGGUGAGAAUGUCUCAUCGUUGUCAACUCCUUGAACUUGUGAAAAACCUUUUGCCACAAGUCGAGCUUUAUAAACGGUCACAUUGCCGUCAGCGUCCGUCUUCUUCUUAAAGAUCCAUUUGUUCUGAAUAGCCUUGCGGCCCUCAGGUAGUACUUCCAAAGCCCACACUUUGUUUUCAUACAUGGAUCCUAUCUCGGACUUCAUGGCCUCCAGCCAUUUGUUGGAAUCUGGGCCCACCAUUUCUUCUUCAUAAUUUGCAGGUUCAUUGUUGUCUAACAACAUGAUUGACAAAACGGGAUUACGGUACCACUCUGGAGCAGCACGUGGUCUCGUCGACCUGCGUGGUUCGAUAGGAACUUGAACCGGAGUUUCAUGAUCAUCAUCAUUAACUUCCUCCUCAACCGGCGUCGCAACAACAGGGGUUUCCCCUUGCCCUGCGCCACCAUCCAGAGGGAUGAGAGGUUCGACAACCUCAUCAAGUUCUAUCUUCCUCCCACUCAAUUCUCUCGAGAGAAACUCCUUCUCGAGAAAAGCUCCGUUUUUAGCAACAAACACUUUGCCCUCGGAUUUGAGAUAGAAGGUGUACCCAACUGUCUCUUUUGGGUAACCUAUGAAGAUGCACCUUUCCGCUUUGGGUUCCAUCUUUUCAGGCUGAAGCUUUUUGACAUAAGCAUCACAUCCCCAAACUUUAAGAAACGACAACUUUGGCCUUUUGCCAUACCACAGUUCGUAUGGUGUCGUCUCAACGGAUUUUGAUGGUGCCCUAUUUAAAGUGAAUGCAGUUGUGUCUAAUGCAUAACCCCAAAAUGAUAACGGCAAACCGGUAAGAGACAUCAUAGAUCGCACCAUCUCUAAUAAAGUACGAUUACGACGUUCGGACACACCAUUAUGCUGUGGUGUUCCAGGCGGUGUCAACUGUGAAACAAUUCCACAUUGUCUUAAGUGAGCACCAAACUCGAAACUCAGAUAUUCACCCCCACGAUCAGACCGUAGGAACUUGAUCUUCUUGUUACGAUGAUUUUCAACUUCACUCUGAAAUUGCUUGAACUUUUCAAAUGUUUCAGACUUGUGCUUCAUUAAGUAGACAUAACCAUAUCUACUCAAAUCGUCAAUGAAGGUGAGAAAAUAACGAUAUCCGCUGCGUGCCUCCACGCUCAUCGGACCGCACACAUCGGUAUGUAUGAUUUCCAAUAAGUCACUGGCACGCUCCAUUGUUCCGGAGAACGGAGUUUUAGUCAUCUUGCCCAUGAGGCAUGGUUCGCACGUGUCAAGUGAUAAAAAGUCAAGUGACUCCAAAAGUCCAUCGGUAUGGAGUUUCUUCAUGCUUUUACACCAAUAUGACCUAAGCGGCAGUGCCACAAAAACAUGGCGCUAUCAUUGUUAACUCUAACUCUUUUGGUCUCAAUGUUAUGUAUAUGUGUAUCACUAUCAAGAUUCAAUAUGAACAAUCCUCUCACAUUGGGUGCAUGACCAUAAAAGAUGUUACUCAUAGAAAUAGAACAACCAUUAUUCUCUGACUUAAAAUAGUAACCGUCUCGCAAUAAACAAGAUCCAGAUAUAAUGUUCAUGCUCAACGCAGGCACUAAAUAACAAUUAUUCAAGUUCAUNNNNNNNNNNNNNNNNNNNNNNNNNNNNNNNNNNNNNNNNNNNNNNNNNNNNNNNNNNNNNNNNNNNNNNNNNNNNNNNNNNNNNNNNNNNNNNNNNNNNGGAGAUCGUAUGUUCAUCAACAGCUAGAAAUUGGGGGGGGGGGGAGUGCGCUUGCUUAUUUGAUGAUUGCGUGUUUGUAAAAAGGUUGUUCUGUCAUGCGGUAUUAAAUGCACUCUAUUUGGUUUACAGUCCCGUGCGUUGCAACGGUAAACCAAAAUAUUACGUCGUAGCCAAAUAAGUAUGGCUCAAUAUCCUGACAUAUGAGCGUUCUCUAUUUUUCUAUUUUACCAUGAUGGCCCAUCAUAUUACCACUUAUUUUUUUUUGCCAUCCUCGUUGAUGAUGGCCCCGCUGUCCAUGUUAUCAAAUUUUGUAACAUUUUAUAAAUGUCACACACAUUUUCUUUGAAUUCAUGGAUAUGUUUUGAAUACAUCAUCAUUUUCAAAAUCUUGAAUGUUUUAUAUUGGAUGAAUAUAUUUUUCAAAAUUGUGAAUUCUUUUACGAUAUCGAAACAGUUCUUUAAAAUCAUCAACAUUUUUUAGUCCGUGAUCAUUUUAUGUUUUCCUGAAAGUUUAUUUAAAUUACAAACAUUUUAUGAUUUCAUGAUUCGUUUUUCCAAAACUCAAAACCUUUUAAAUACAGAAUUUUGAAAAAUUCUGAAUUAAUUUAUAGAAGAAAAAUAAAUUGAAAUAAGAAACAUUUUAUAUUUUCCAGAAUAUAUUUGUCAAAAUUGUGAAUUAUUUUAUAAUAUGCAAACUGUUUUUUGAAAAUCAUAAACAAUUUUGAAUUCCGCAAACAAUUUAUGAUUUCCUGAUCCUUCUUAUGAAUUUCUAGACAUUUUAUGAUUUCCUGAACAUUUUUUCUAUGUUUUGAAUACAUGAUCAUUUUCAAAAUCAUGAACGUUCUAUAUUUUCUGAAUAUAUUUUUGAAAAUUGUGGAUUCUUUUAUAAUAUGCAAACAUUUGUUCAAAACUCAGAACUUUUAAAAUUGGAAUAUUGAAAAGUUCCGAAUUAAAUAAAAGAUUAUAUUUUUGAAAAUUGUGGAUUCUUUUAUAAUAUGCAAACAGUUUUUCAAAAUUCAAAACUGUUAAAAUUGGAAUUUUGAAAAGUUCCGAAUUAAUUAAAAGAAGGCGACAAACAAAUUGAAAUAAUAAAACAGAAAAUCCGAUGUUUUGAAUACAUCAUCAUUUUCAAAAUCUUGAAUGUUUUAUAUUGGAUGAAUAUAUUUUUCGAAAUUGUGAAUUCUUUUACGAUAUCGGAACAGUUCUUUAAAAUCAUGAAAAAAAUUAGUCUGUGAACAUUUUAUGUUUUCCUGAAAGUUUAUUUAAAAUUACCAAACAUUUUAUGAUUUCAUGAUUCAUUUUUCCAAAACUCAAAACCUUUUAAAUACAGAAUUUUGAAAAAUUCUGAAUUAAUUUAUAGAAGAAAAAUAUAUUGAAAUAAGAAACAUUUUAUAUUUUCCAGAAUAUAUUUGUCGAAAUUGUGACUUGUUUUAUAAUAUGCAAACUGUUUUUUGAAAAUCAUAAACAAUUUUGAAUUCCGCAAACAAUUUAUGAUUUCCUGAUCCUUCUUUUGAAUUUCUAGACAUUUUAUGAUUUCCUGAACAUUUUUUCUAUGUUUUGAAUACAUGAUCAUUUUCAAAUCAUGAAUGUUCUAUAUUUUCUGUAUAUAUUUUUGGAAAUUGUGGAUUCUUUUAUAAUAUGCAAACAUUUUUUUCAAAACUCAAAACUUUUAAAAUUGGAAUAUUGAAAAGUUCCGAAUUAAAUAAAAGAAUAUAUUUUUGAAAAUUGUGGAUUCUUUUAUAAUAUGCAAACAGUUUUUCAAAACUUGAAACUUUUAAAAUUGGAAUUUUGAAAAGUUUCAAGUUAAUUAAAAGAAGGCAACAAACAAAUUGAAAUAAUAAAACAGAAAAUCCGAUAAAAAAGGUGUUGUUCAGGAAUCAAACCUGGGAUUCGUGAAUGGUGUAGCUGCACUAAAGCCAAUAAGCCAAGCUAGCUGUUGUUGCUUUCAAAGGUCUCGCCUCGCCAUUUAAGUACUGAUACGGACGGCGACUUUGACAGAUUCCAAAAUCAAAUCGUUUCCUUCAUUUAUGGGUCGCAUAUUGGGUAAUUUAAUACAACAUCAGGGGUACAAAGCGCCUGCUAGAGAAACAAAAAUAAAAAUAGAAAUAAAAAUAAAGUAAAAAUAAAAGUUAAAAUGACCGGAAUAGGAUCGGGGCUUUGAACCCGACGUGAAUCGAACACGCAACCUUCUGAUCUGGAGUCAGACGCGCUACCAUUGCGCCACGGAUCCGGUGUGUUGUUGCUCGCUGACCAAUCUACAAGAGCGACAUUAAUGGUAGAUUAGGGACUUAAGCUACAGAGAAGUACGCUGUAGCUUCAUUAUCAUAUCAUAGAUUAUAGGCUGAAUUUUUUCCAAUUAACAGUUCCUUUGGAGCUUAAAUUAAGGAGCUGGUGCAGCAUGUGGUCGUGGCCUCAUGUGGUUCUCCAGGUUGAUGGAGAGUUUGAGACGUGCCCUGCCAACGACGGCCAGUCUCGCGCUUCCCUCGGCGCCAUCUUUAGUUUGUUCUCCUGCUCCUGCGUGAGGUGCCACGGUUGAGACAUUUCUGGCGCUCCAGAAGGAGAAUGGGCCUUCUCCAGUCCAGAGGUUUGCUGCUGGUUCAGCAAAAAUGGUAGAGAAUGUAUCCAGUCAGCUACUUCCUUUGUCAUGAUACAUUCACAUCCAGGUAAAUCUAAAAUAAAUAAUUUAGUACGAAGAAUAUUAGCCAAGGCGAGAGCACAAUAGUAAGCUUUGCAUGUUGACAUGAGCAAAAAAAACAUCUCUAGCAAACUCCGCAAACGGCCGGCCCGAAAAAAUGGUUUGAGAGAUCCCGCAAAAACAUUUUAUGGGACGACGAGCCCUCUGACGGAACAGUUUCCGUAAACCCGUCCCGUAGAUGUUAUGCAAGACGCGUUUGCGGGAUCUAUUCUGCGUCGGAGGACUCGUUGUUCCGCAAAUACAAUUAUAUGCAAAUAUUAUCAAGUUUAUCAUGACAGGUGCAUCAUUUUCAUAUAUAUACAUUACUAGCUAGUAGAUCAUCAUACUAGUUCAUCACAUCCAAAAUGAUGAGCUUCAUGUAUGCACGAUAAACUAGGCAAAAGAUGCACAAAUCACAUAGAUCAAUCAAGCUCCAUCACCAACAUUGACCGGAGAGCUCGCGCCAUCACCUUCACGAACUUCAACCGGAGAGCUCGCACCACCACCUUUAUGGACUUGGACCGGAGAUUGAGUGUGGCCAUCAUCACCACCAUUGACAUGGCUUGCCGAAGCACCACCACCAUUGUCGAAGACACCACCACCACCAUUGUCGAAGCCACCACCACUACCACCACCAUUGCCGAAGCCACCCUACCACCACCACCNNNNNNNNNNNNNNNNNNNNNNNNNNNNNNNNNNNNNNNNNNNNNNNNNNNNNNNNNNNNNNNNNNNNNNNNNNNNNNNNNNNNNNNNNNNNNNNNNNNNAACUUACCCGAACUCCCGUUUCGUAGNGACCCUCGGGACCCCAGGAACUACAGUGAGAAUAGCAUAGAAAACUGGCCAGAAUGGACCAAUACUGCGAGUUUUGACGAGGUCCCCGGAGUUCGCAGACUGUUUGGAUCUCCCCGGGAACAAAAUUUAGUGAGUAAUAGCAUAGAAAACUAGCCAGAAUGGACCAAAUGUGCGAGUUUUGGCGAGGUCCACGUAACCGAUCCCUGGAGUUCGCGAAACGUUCGGAUCGCCCCGGGAACCAAAAUCAGUGAGUAAUAGCAUAAGAAACUUUCCAGAAUGGACCAAAUCUGCGAGUUUUCAUGAGGUCCCCGUAACCACACAUUGAAGUUCCCCGAACAUCUUUAUUGCCGUGAGUCCAAGAUCAAUGAGAAAUAGCAUAAAAAACUCGACAGAAUGGACAAAAUCUGCGAGUUGUAACGAGGUCCCUAUAAUGGGUCCCCGGAGUUCGUGGAACGUUUGUAGCGCCCGGGGACCCAGAACUAGUGAGUAAUGGCAUAGAAAACUGGCGAGAAUGGACCAAAUCUGUGAGAUUUGACGAGGUCCCCAUAACCGGUCCUCGAAUUUCCCCGAACAUUUGUAGCACCACGGGACCCUGAAUUAGUGAGUAAUCGCAUAGAAAAUUAGGCUAGAAUGGACCAAAUCUGCGAGUUUUGAUAAUGUCCCCAUAACUGGACCCCAAAUUCACCGAACGUUUGGAUCUCUCCACGACCCAAAUUAGUGAGUAAUAGAGUAGAAAACUGGCCACAAUGGACCAAAUUUGCGAGUUUUAGUGAGGUCCCCGUAUACCGUUCCCGAAGUUCCUAGAAUGUUUGCGGUGCCACCGGGGACCCAUAAUAAGUGAGUAAUAGCAUAGUAAACUGGCCAGAAUGGAUCGUACCUACGAGUUUUCACGAGGUCCCCAUAACCGGACCCCGAAGUUCCUCGAACGUUCGUGUCGCCCGGGACCACGAACGUCAAGUGAGUAAUAGCAUAGAAACUGCGAGAAUGGACCAAAUCUGCGAGUUUUGACGANNNNNNNNNNNNNNNNNNNNNNNNNNNNNNNNNNNNNNNNNNNNNNNNNNNNNNNNNNNNNNNNNNNNNNNNNNNNNNNNNNNNNNNNNNNNNNNNNNNNGUAGNGCNCCGACGACCAAGACCAGUGAGUAAUAGCAUAGAAAAAGGCCCAGAAUGGACCAAAUCUGYGAGUUUUGACAAGGUCCCCRUAACUGGUCCCCGAAGUUCGCGGAACAUUUGGAUCGCUCCGGGAACCAAAAUGAGUGAGUAAUCGCAUAGAAAACUGGCUAGAAUAGACCAAAUCUGCGAGUUUUGACAAUGUCCCAAUAACCGGACCGCAAAGUUCCCUGAACGUUCGGAUCUCCCCGGGACCCAAAAUCAAUGAGUAAUAGCAUAGAAAACUGGCCAAAAUAGACCAAAUUUGCGAGUUUUGACGAGGUCCCCGUAACCGGUGCCCGAAGUUCCCCGUAUGUUUGCGGCGCCACGGGACCCAUAAUUAGUGAGUAAUAGCAUAGAAUACUCGCAGAAAGGAUCGAAUCUACGAGUUUUCACGAGGUCCCCUUAACCGGACCCCAAAGUUCCCCGAACGUCGUGUCGCCCCGGGACACAAAUUCAGUGACUAAUAGCAUAGAAAACUGGCCAGAAUGGACCAAAUCUGCGAGUUUUGACGAGGUCCCCGGAGUHCGCMGACUGUUUGGAUCUCCCCGGGGAACAAAAUUUAGUGAGUNNNNNNNNNNNNNNNNNNNNNNNNNNNNNNNNNNNNNNNNNNNNNNNNNNNNNNNNNNNNNNNNNNNNNNNNNNNNNNNNNNNNNNNNNNNNNNNNNNNNGGACCCCAAAGUUCCCCGAACGUCGUGUCGCCCCGGGACACAAAUUCAGUGACUAAUAGCAUAGAAAACUGGCCAGAAUGGACCAAAUCUGCGAGUUUUGACGAGGUCCGUGUAACCGGUCCCCGGAGAUCGCGGAACGUCUGUAGCUCCCGGGGACCCAGAAUCAGUGAGUAAUAGCAAAGAAAACUGGCCAGAAUGAACACAAUCUACGAGUUUUGAUGAGGUCCCCGUAACCGGUCCCCCGAGUUCGCAGAACGUUCGGAUUGGCCCGAAAACCAAAAUCAGUGAGCAAUAGCAUAGAAAACUGGCGAGAAUGGACCAAAUCUGCGAGAUUUGACGAGGUCCCCGUAACCGGUCCCCGAAUUUCCCCGAACGUUUGUAGCACCACGGGACCCUAAAUCAGUGAGUAAUAGCGAAGAAAACUAGACAGAAUGGACCAAAUCUGCGAGUUUUGACAAUAUCCACAUAACCGGACCCCAAAGUUCYCCGAAUGUUCAGAUCUACCCUGAGACCCAAAAUCAGUGAGUAAUAGCAUGAUGAUGUGCCCCAUGAUAUUCAAGCACUUACCCAAGGUUCCGAACCUGCUCAUGAUCAAGAUCAAGUGACAACCACAAGAUCCAGACCAAGNNNNNNNNNNNNNNNNNNNNNNNNNNNNNNNNNNNNNNNNNNNNNNNNNNNNNNNNNNNNNNNNNNNNNNNNNNNNNNNNNNNNNNNNNNNNNNNNNNNNAAUUCGUUGCAUCUUGUAAAACAAGAGCAAUUGAGAAAGAAGUAUGGAUGACAUUUGUAUGUCGUCAUCCAUAGGGGUUGACGGAGGAAGGGAAAUUGCAGAAGCGAUGAUCACAAGUUCUCGAGUGAACAUCAGAGAUUAUCCUCGGAGUCUUCUGACAGAUCAAGUCAUCGUCUGGAAUUGCGGGGCUCUCCGGGUAGAUGUGAUUACGACGACCUAAUGUUAGAGUUAGUAAAACCUUUAACCCGAAAGAGAAGAGAGAGUAGAGCCCAGAGUAUAGAAAAGGAGUAAAAGAUACUAAUACCACCCAAUUGAGAUGUGGGCCCAUAAGACACAACAUCAGUGUUAGUAAAGUUUUUCAAACACUAGACUCAACUUCGGCCAAGGAGUUGGAAAAGGGGGCUACCUACAGGCAGUUGGCUCUGACACCAACUUGUGACGCCCUCGGUUUAACCGUACGCUAAUCAUACACGGAAAUGCAUACGAUCAAACCCAGGACUCACGGGAAGAUAUCACAACANNNNNNNNNNNNNNNNNNNNNNNNNNNNNNNNNNNNNNNNNNNNNNNNNNNNNNNNNNNNNNNNNNNNNNNNNNNNNNNNNNNNNNNNNNNNNNNNNNNNCAAGGUGCGGGAGACGUCACCGGGCUGCACGUGUGUUGAACGCGGAGGUGCCGUAGUUCGGCACUAGAUCGGAAUCACACCGCGAUCUGAAUCGCCGCGAGUACGACUCCAUCAAUCGCGUUCUAGCAAUGCUUCCGCUUAGCGAUCUUCAAAGGUAUGAAUAUGCACUCACCCCUCUCUCGUUGCUGGUCUCUCCAUAGGAAGAUCUGAAUAUGGUGUAGGAAAGUUUUGAACUUAUGCUACGUUACCCAACAGUGGUAUCGGAGCCAAGUUUUCUAUGCGUUAGAUUCUAUGCACGAGUAGAACACAAAAAGGUUAUGGGGCGAUGAUUUGUCAAUUGCUUGCCGCUACUAGUCUUAUUCUUUUCAGGCGGUAUUGUGGGAUGAAGCGCCCCGGACCGACAUUACACGUACGCUUACGUGAGACUGGUUCCACCGACAUACAUGCACACCGUGCAUAAAGGUGCUAGCGGGUGUCUGUCUCUCCUACUCCACGUCGGUANNNNNNNNNNNNNNNNNNNNNNNNNNNNNNNNNNNNNNNNNNNNNNNNNNNNNNNNNNNNNNNNNNNNNNNNNNNNNNNNNNNNNNNNNNNNNNNNNNNNUAUCACAUCACAUCUUUGGCCAUAUCACAUCACAAGCAUACCCUGCAAAAACAAGUUAGACGUCCUCUAAUUUUGUUGUUUGCAUGUUUUACGUGGUGACCAUGGGUAUCUAGUAGGAUCACAUCUUACUUACGCAAACACCACAACGGAGAUAUAUGAAUUGCUAUUUAACCUUAUACAAGGACCUCCUCGGUCAAAUCCGAUUCAACUAAAGUUGGAGAAACCGACACUUGUCAGUCAUCUUUGAGCAAAGGGGGUUACUCGUAGCGAUGAAACCAGUCUCUCGUAAGCGUAUGAGUAAUGUCGGUCCAAGCCGCUUCAAUCCAACAAUACCGCGGAAUCAAGAAAAGACUAAGAGGGCAGAAAAACGCACAUCACCGCCCACAAAAACCUUUUGUGUUCUACUCGAGAAGACAUCUACGCAUGAACCUAGCUCAUGAUGCCACUGUUGGGGAACGUCGCAUGGGAAACAAAAAUUUUCCUACGCGCACGAAGACCUAUCAUGGUGAUGUCCAUCUACGAGAGGGGAUGAGUGAUCUACGUACCCUUGUAGACCGUACAGCAGAAGCGUUAGAGAACGCGGUUGAUGUAGUGGAGCGUCCUCACGUCCCUCGAUUCGCCCCGCGAACAAUCCCGCGAUCAGUCGCACGAUCUAGUACCGAACGGACGGCACCUCCGCGUUCAGCACACGUACACCUCGACGAUGAUCUCGGCCUUCUUGAUCCAGCAAGNNNNNNNNNNNNNNNNNNNNNNNNNNNNNNNNNNNNNNNNNNNNNNNNNNNNNNNNNNNNNNNNNNNNNNNNNNNNNNNNNNNNNNNNNNNNNNNNNNNNCAAUAUAUCACAUCAUGUAUUUGGCCAUAUCACAUCACAUGCAUACCCUGCAAAAACAAGUUAGACAUCCUCUAAGUUGUUGUUGCAUGUUUUACGUGACUGCUAUGGGUAUCUAGUAUGAUCGCAUCUUACUUAUGCCAAGCCACAACGGUGAUAUGCAAAUUGCUAUUUAACCUUCUCCAAGGACCGCCUUGUUUAAAAUCCGAUUCAACUAAAGUUGAAGAAACGGACAACCGCCAGUCAUCUUUAUGCAACAAGUUGCAUGUUAGUCGAUGAAACCGGUCUCUCGUAAGCGUACGAGAUAGGUUGGUCCGGGCCGCUUCAAUCCAACAAUACCGCCGAAUCGAUAAAAUAAUAAGGAGGGAAGCAAAUCGAACAUCAACGACCACAAAAAAUUUGUUACUCUACUUGAGAUUUCAUCUACGCAUGAACCUAGCUCAUGAUGCCACUGUUGGGAACGUUGCAUGAGAAACAAAAAAAUUACCUACGACACACGAAGACCUNNNNNNNNNNNNNNNNNNNNNNNNNNNNNNNNNNNNNNNNNNNNNNNNNNNNNNNNNNNNNNNNNNNNNNNNNNNNNNNNNNNNNNNNNNNNNNNNNNNNAUGAUUCAUGAUCGAUCUUCGGUCUCAUGNGUUUCGAGGCCAUGUCUGCACAUGCUAGGCUCGUCAAGNUUAACCCGAGUGUUCCGCGUGCGCAACUGUUUUGCACCCGUUGUAUGUGAACGUUGAGUCUAUCACACCCGAUCAUCACGUGGUGUCUCGAAACGACGAACUGUAGCAACGGUGCACAGUCGGGGAGAACACAAUUUCGUCUUGAAAUUUUAGUGAGAGAUCACCUCAUAAUGCUACCGUCGUUCUAAGCAAAAUAAGGUGCAUAAAAGGAUUAACAUCACAUGCAAUUCAUAAGUGACAUGAUACGGCCAUCAUCACGUGCUUCUUGAUCUCCAUCACCAAAGACCGGCACGGAUCUUCUUGUCACCGGCGCCACACCAUGAUCAUCCAUCAACGUGUUGCCAUCGGGGUUGUCGUGCUACUAUGUAUUACACUAAAGCUAAUCUGCAAAAUAGAAACGCAUCUGCAAGCACAAAGUUAGUAUAAAGACAACCCUAUGGCUCCUCCGGUUGCCGUACCAUCGACAUUUAGUGAAAUAUGUGGGGAGGACAUUUUGUAAAGCAAUCAUAUUGUCAAAGUGACAAAAUGCAGGCUUUAAUAGUAGUGGUGAUGAUCUGCAAAGCGGUAGAUCUACACACUACCUUGUGAUUCUCAAAAUAUCAAUUUGAAAAACAACACUAAGAAUUUGGAUAUCAAUUCUUNNNNNNNNNNNNNNNNNNNNNNNNNNNNNNNNNNNNNNNNNNNNNNNNNNNNNNNNNNNNNNNNNNNNNNNNNNNNNNNNNNNNNNNNNNNNNNNNNNNNUCUGGCCCAUUUUCUAUGCUAUUACUCACUGGUUUUGGGUCCUAGUGCGCUACAAACGUUCCACGAACUCCGGGGACCGGUUAUGGGGACCUCGUCGCAACUCGCAGAUUUUGUCCAUUUUGUCCAAUUUACUAUGCUAUUACUCACUGAUCUUGGACCCAAGGCGAUACGAAUGUUCGAGGAACUUCACGGUCUGGUUACUGGGACCUCGUGAAAACUCGCAGAUUUGGUCCAUUCUUACCAGUUUUCUAUGCUAUUACUCACUGAUUCAGGGUCCCCUGGUAAGACAAACGUUCAUGGAAAUUCGGGGACCGGCUACGGGGACCUCGCAAAUCUCGCAUAUUUGGUCCAUUCUAGCCAAUUUUCUAUGCUAUUACUCACUGGUUCUGGUUCCUGGGGUGCUACAAACGUUCCGCGAACUCCGGGGACCGGUUACGGGGACCUCGUCAAAACUCGCAGAUUUGGUCCAUUCUCGCAAGUUUUCUAUGCUAUUACUCACUGAUUUCUGGUCCCGGGCGACACGAACGUUCGAGGAACUUCGGGGUCCGGUUAUGGGGACCUCGUGAAAACUCGUAGGUACGAUCCAUUCUGGCCAGUUUACUAUGCUAUUACUCACUUAUUAUGGGUCCCGUGGCANNNNNNNNNNGAACGUUCAUGGAAAUUCGGGGACCAGCUACGGGGACCUCACAAAUCUCGCAUAUUUGGUCCAUUCUGGCCAAUUUUCUAUGCUACUGCUCACUGGUUCUGGUUCCGAGGGUGCUACAAACGUUCCGCGAACUCCGGGGACCUCGUCAAAACUCGCAGAUUUGGUUCAUUCUCGCGAGUUUUCUAUGCUAUUACUCACUGAUUUCUGGUCCCGGGCGACACGAACGUUCGGGGAACUUCGGGGUCCGAUUAUGGGGACCUCGUGAAAACUCGCAGGUUCGAUCCAUUCUCGCUAGUUUACUAUGCUAUUACUCACUAACUAUGGGUCCCGUGGCACCGCAAACAUUCUAGGAACUUCGGGGAACGGAUACGGGGACCUCACUAAAACUCGCAAAUUUGGUCCAUUGUGGCCAGUUUUCUACUCUAUUACUCACUAAUUUUGGGUCGUGGAGAGAUCCAAACGUUCGGUGAAUUUGGGGUCCAGUUAUGGGGACAUUAUCAAAACUCACAGAUUUGGUCCAUUCUUGCCAANNNNNNNNNNGCUAUUACUCACUAAUUUUGGGUCAUGGGGAGAUCCGAACGUUCGGUGAAUUUGGGGCCCGGUUAUGGGGACAUUAUCAAAACUCGCAGAUUUGGUCCAUUCUAGCCAAUUUUCUAUGCGAUUACUCACUAAUUCAGGGUCCCGUGGUGCUACAAAUGUUCGGGGAAAUUCGAGGACCGGUUAUGGGGACCUCGUCAAAUCUCACACAUUUGGUCCAUUCUCGCCAGUUUUCUAUGCCAUUACUCACUAGUUCUGGGUCCCCGGGCGCUACAAACGUUCCACGAACUCCGGGGACCCAUUAUAGGGACCUCGUUACAACUCGCAGAUUUUGUCCAUUCUGUCGAGUUUUUUAUGCUAUUUCUCAUUGAUCUUGGCCUCAGGGCAAUACAGAUGUUCGGGGAACUUCAAUGUGUGGUUAUGGGGACCUCAUGAAAACUCGCAGAUUUGGUCCAUUCUGGAAAGUUUUCNNNNNNNNNNGAUGUUCGGGGAAAUUCGAGGACCGGUUACGGGGACCUCGUCAAAUCUCACAGAUUUGGUCCAUUCUNNNNNNNNNNACUCACGGCAAUAAAGAUGUUCGGGGAACUUCAAUGUGUGGUUACGGGGACCUCAUGAAAACUCGCAGAUUUGGUCCAUUCUGGAAAGUUUUCUAUGCUAUUACUCACUGAUUUUGGUUCCCGGGGCGAUCCGAACGUUUCGCGAACUCCAGGGAUCGGUUACGUGGACCUCGCCAAAACUCGCACAUUUGGUCCAUUCUGGCUAGUUUUCUAUGCUAUUACUCACUAAAUUUUGUUCCCGGGGAGAUCCAAACAGUCUGCGAACUCCGGGGACCUCGUCAAAACUCGCAGUAUUGGUCCAUUCUGGCUAGUUUUCUAUGCUAUUACUCACUGAUUCAGGGUCCCGUGGUGCUACAAACAUUCGGGGAAAUUCGGGGACCGGUUAUGGAGACCUCGUCAAAUCUCGCAGAUUUGGUCCAUUCUCGCCAGUUUUCUAUGCUAUUACUCACUGAUUCUCGUUCCCGGGGCGCUACAAAUGUUCCGUGAACUCCGGGGACCGGUUACGNNNNNNNNNNUGGGGACCUCGUCAAAUCUCGCAGAUUUGGUCCAUUCUCGCCAGCUUUCUAUGCUAUUACUCAGUGGUUCUGGUUCCCGGGGCGCUACAAAUGUUCCGUGAACUCCGGGGACCGGUUACGCGGACUUUGCCAAAACUCAUAGAUUUUGUCCAUUAUGGCCAGUUUUCUAUGCUUUUACUCACUAAUUGUGGGUCCCCGGGCGCUACAAACAUUCCGCGAACUCCGGGGACCGGUUACGGGGACCUCGUCAAAACACACACAUUUGGUCCAUUCUGGCCAGUUUUCUAUGCUUUUACUCACUGAUUUUGGGUCUCGGGGAGAUCUGAACGUUCGGGGAUCUUUGGGGUCCGGUUAUGUGGAUAUUGUCAAAACUCACAGAUUUGGUCCAUUCUGUCUAGUUUUCUUCGCUAUUACUCACUGAUUCAGGGUCCCGUGGUGCUANNNNNNNNNNNNNNNNNNNNNNNNNNNNNNNNNNNNNNNNNNNNNNNNNNNNNNNNNNNNNNNNNNNNNNNNNNNNNNNNNNNNNNNNNNNNNNNNNNNNCGAGUUGCGACGAGGUCCCCAUAACCGGUCCCCGGAGUUCAUGGAACGUUUGUAGUGCACUAGGACCCAAAACCAGUGAGUAAUAGCAUAGAAAAUGGGCCAGAAUAGACCAAAUCUGUGAGUUUUGACAAGGUCCCCAUAACUGGUCCCCGAAGUUCGGAUUGGCCCAGAAACCAAAAUCAGUGAGCAAUAGCAUAGAAAACUAGUGAGAAUGGACCAAAUCUGCGAGAUUUGACGAGGUCCCCGUAACCGGUCCCCGAAUUUCCCCGAAAUUUUAUAGCACCACGGGACCCUGAAUCAGUGAGUAAUAGCGAAGAAAACUAGANNNNNNNNNNGAACCAGUGAGUAAUAGCACAGAAAAUGGGCCAGAAUGGACCAAAUCUGCGAGUUUUGACAAGGUCCCCGUAACUGGUCCCCGAAGUUCGCGGAACAUUUGGAUCGCUCCGGGAACCAAAAUGAGUGAGUAAUCGCAUAGAAAACUGGCUAGAAUAGACCAAAUCUGCGAGUUUUGACAAUGUCCCAAUAACCGGACCCCAAAGUUCCCUGAACGUUCGGAUCUCCCCGGGACCCAAAAUCAAUGAGUAAUAGCAUAGAAAACUGGCCAAAAUAGACCAAAUUUGCGAGUUUUGACGAGGUCCCCGNNNNNNNNNNCUUCCCCAAACGUUCGGAUCUCCCCGGGACCCAAAAUCAAUGAGUAAUAGCAUACAAAACUGGCCAAAAUAGACCAAAUUUGCGAGUUUUGACGAGGUCCCCGUAACCGGUGCCCGAAGUUCCCCGUAUGUUUGCGGCGCCACGGGACCCAUAAUUAGUGAGUAAUAGCAUAGAAUACUCGCAGAAAGGAUCGAAUCUACGAGUUUUCACGAGGUCCCCUUAACCGGACCCCAAAGUUCCCCGAACGUCGUGUCGCCCCGGGACACAAAUUCAGUGACUAAUAGCAUAGAAAACUGGCCAGAAUGGACCAAAUCUGCGAGUUUUGACGAGGUCCGUGUAACCGGUCCCCGGAGAUCGCGGAACGUCUGUAGCUCCCGGGUACCCAGAAUCAGUGAGUAAUAGCAAAGAAAACUGGCCAGAAUGAACACAAUCUACGAGUUUUGAUGAGGUCCCCGUAACCGGUCCCCCGAGUUCGCAGAACGUUCGGAUUGGCCCGAAAACCAAAAUCAGUGAGCAAUAGCAUAGAAAACUGGCGAGAAUGGACCAAAUCUGCGAGAUUUGAUGAGGUCCCCGUAACCGGUCCCCGAAUUUCCUCGAACGUUUGUAGCACCACGGGACCCUGAAUCAGUGAGUAAUAGCGAAGAAAACUAGACAGAAUGGACCAAAACUGCGAGUUUUGACAAUAUCCCCAUAACCGGACCCCAAAGUUCCCCGAACGUUCGUAUCGCCCGGGUCCAAGAUCAAUGAGUAAUAGCAAAGAAAACUGGACAGAAUGGGCAAAAUGUGCGAGUUGUGACGAGGUCCCAAUAACCGGUCCCGGGAAUUCGUGGAACGUUUGUAGCGCCCCGGGACCCAAAAUCAGUGAGUAAUCGCAUAGGAAACUAGCUAGAUGGACCAAAUCUGCGAGUUUUGACAAUGUCCCCAUAAUCGGACCCCAAAGUUCCCCGAACGUUCGGAUCUCCCCGGGACCCAAAAUGAGUGAGUAGUAGCAUAUAAAACUGGCCAGAAUGGACCAAAUUUGCGAGUUUUGACGAGGUCCCCGNNNNNNNNNNACUGGUCCCCGAAGUUCCCCGAAUGUUUGCGGCGUCACGGGACCAUAGUUAGUGUGUAAUAGCACAGAAAACUCGCCAGAAUGGAUCGAAUCUACGAGUUUUCUCGAGGUCCCCCUAACCGACCCCGAAGUUCCCCGAACGUUCGUGUCGCCCCGUGACCCAAAAUUAGUAAGUAAUAGCAUAGAAAACUAGCCAGAAUGUACCAAAUCUGCGUGAUUUGACAAGGUCCUCGUAACCGGUCCCCGGAGUUCGCAGAAUGUUUGUAGCGCCCGGGGACCCAGAAUCAGUGAGUAAUAGCAUAGAAAACUGGACAUAAUGGACAAAAUCUAUGAGUUUUGGUGAAGUCCACGUAACCGGUCCCCGGAGUUUGCGGAACAUUUGUAGCGCCCUGGGAACUAGAACCAGUGAGUAAUAGCAUAGAAAAUUGGCCAGAAUGGACCAAAUCUGCGUGUUUUGAUGAAGUCCUCGUAACCGGUCCCCGAAUUUCCCCGAACGUUUGUAGCACCACGGGACCCUGAAUCAGUGAGUAAUAGCAUAGAAACUAGGCCAGAAUGGACCAAAUCUGUGAGUUUUGACGAGGUCCCCGUAGCCGGUCCCCGACUUUCCCGGACGUUUGUAGCACCAGGGGACCCUGAAUUAGUGAGUAAUAGCAUAGAAAACUCGCCCGAACGGACCAAAUCUGCGAGUUUUGACGAGGUCCCCAUAACCGGUCCCCGGAGUUCGCGGAAUGUUCGGAUCGCCCAGGAACCAAAAUCAGUGAGUAAUAGUAGAGAAAACUGGUCAGAAUGGAGCAGAUCUACGAGUUUUCACGAGGUCUCCGGAGUUCCCCGAAUAUUCGUAUCGCCCCGGGUGCACAAACAAUGAGUAAUAGCAUAGAAAACUGGCCAGAAUGGCAUAAAUUUGCGAUUUUGACGAGUUCCCCGUAACCGGUCCCCGGAGUUCGUGGAACGUUUGUAGCAGCCGGGGACCCAGAAUCAGUGAGUUUGCAUAGUAAACUUGCGAUAAUGGACAAAAUAUGCGAGUUUUGACAAUGUCCCCAUAACCGGACCCCAAAGUUCCGCGAACAUUCGGAUCUUCCCGGGACCCAAAAUUAGUGAGUAAUAGCAUAUAAAACUGACGAGAAUGGACCAAAUUUGCGAGUUUUGACAAGGUCCCCGUAACCGGUCCCCGAAGUUCCCCGAAUGUUUGUGGCACCACGAGACCAAUAAUUAGUGAGUAGUAGCAUAGAAAACUGGCCAGAAUGCAUCAAAUAUACGGGUCUUCAUGAGGUCCCCAUAACGGGACUCCGAAGUUCCCCGAGCUUUCGUGUUGCCCCAGACCCAAAAUCAGUGAGUAAUAGCAUAGAAAACAGGUCAGAAUGGACCAAAUGUGUGAGUUUUUUACGAGGUCCCCGUAACCGGUCCCCUGAGUUCGUGGAAUGUUUGUAGCGCCCGGGAACCCAGAAUCAGUGAGUAAUAGCAUGGAAAAGUGGCCAGGAUGGACAAUUUGUACAAGUUUUGACGAGGUCCCCGUAACCGGUCCCCGAAGUAUGCGAAACGUUCGGAUCGCUCCGGGAACCAAAGUCAAUGACUAAUCGCAUAGAAAAUUAGCUAGAAUGGACUAAAUCUGCGAGUUUUGACCAUGUCCCCAUAACCGGACCCCAAAGUUCCCCGAACGUUUGUAUUCCCCGGGACUCAAAAUCGGUGAGUAAUAGCAUACAAAACUGUCCAGAAUGGACCGAAUUUGCGAGUUUUGACGAGGUCCCCGUAACCGGUCCCCGAAGGUCCCCGGAUGUUUGUGGCGCCACGGGACCCAUAAUUAGUGAGUAAUAGCAUAGAAAAGUGGCCAUCGUGGAUCAAAUCUACGAGUUUCAAGAGGUCCCCAUAACCAGACCCCGAAGAUCCCCGAAUAUUCGUGUCGCCCCGGGACCCAAAAUCAGUGAGUAAUAGCAUAGAAAACUAACCAGAAUGGACCAAAUCUGCGAGUUUUGAUGAGGUCUCCGUAACUGGUCUCCUGAGCUCGUGGAACGUUUGUACUUUGUAGCGCCUCGGGACCCGGAAUGAGUGAGUAAUAGGAUGAAAAACUGGCCAGAAUGGACAAAAUCUAUGAGUUUUGACGAAGUCUGCGUAACCGGUCCCCGGAGUUCGCGGAACGUUCGAAUCGGCCCGGGAACCAAAAUCAGUGAUAUUUGACGAGGUUCCCGUAACCGGUCCCUGCAUUUUCCCGAACGUUUGUACCGCCACGGGACCCUGAAUCAGUGAGUAAUAGCAUAGAAACUGGCCAGAAUGGACCAAAUCUGCGAGUUUUGACGAGGUCCCCGUAAACGGUCCCCGGAGUUUGCGGAAUGUUUGGAUCUCCCCGGGAACCAAAAUCAGUGAGUAAUAGCAUACAAAAUUGGUCAGAAUGGACCAAAUGUGCGAGUUUCGACGAGGUCCCCGUAACCGGCCUCAGAGUUCGUGGAACGUUCGGAUCGCCCCGAGAACCAAAAUCAGUGAGUAAUAGCAUAGAAAACUAGCCAAAAUGGACCAAAUCUGCGACUUUUCACGAGGUCCCCGUAACCGGUCCUCAAAUUUCCCCGAACAUUUGUAGCACCACGGGACCCUGGAUCAGUGAGUAAUAGCAUAGAAAACUAGCCAGAAUGGACAAAAUCUGCGAGUUGUGACGAGGUCCCCGUAACGUGUCCCCGGAGCUCGUGGAACGUUUUUAGCGCCCCUGGACCUAGAACCAGUGAGUAAUAGCAUAGAAAAUUGGUCGGAAUGGACCAAAUCUGCGAGUUUUGAGAUUCGACAUGAUUCACGAAAUUCCAACAAGAUCUAUUCUUCACAUGAUUCGACACAUGAAACAUAACAUCUCAUAUAGAUCCACAUUAAAAACAGAGUCUUCAUGGGCAGUACCAAAACAGGACAUCUUAAGCACUUAUUUGAACUCCAGACUUUUUGUGUGUUCAAAAUGAACCAUUCAAGGCCACAUCAUCAAUUUUCAACAUUUUCUGACUUCAUUUGGUAUUUUUCAUGCUUUAACUGAUUUUUUGGAGCUAAAUGACCCAGAAAUUGAAAAGCACUACAAAUGAACUCUUAAUAGGUUGAAAGUUGGCAUGGUAUCAUCAUUUCACCCACAUAGCAUGUGCUAAAAAGUUGAGAGGGUUGCCGCAAAAACUGGAUGCACUUCGUGUACAAAUCGGACAAUCUCUUUCGAAGUAUGAGGGUUUCAUAGGGAAAACUCAUCUGUUACAAAAGGCAUUUCAUUUUUUCAAACUUAUUUCAUUUUUUCCACAUGGGUGUGUGUAUUAAAAACCAUUACAACAUAUCAUGAAUAUAGAAGUGACCAAAUUUAUAGAAAUUCAUCAUUACAUUAAAGCCAAAGUACAGUAGUGACCAAAAUAAAUACAUAGCGUUUUUACAUAGUUCUCAUUGUUGAACAACAUAUAGCUCUCUAGAGCAUCUAAUUAGAACAUACACUGAAACUAUUAGUUUUAAAUGUAACAACAAAUGCGAUCAUAACCGCAACUAAGGUACAAAUUGAUCCAACGGCAUAAUGAUACCAAGCCUCAGUAUGAAUGGCAUAUUUUCUAAUGUUUCUAAUCUUCAAGCGCAUUGCAUUCAUCUUGAUCUUGUGAUCGUCAUGCACAUCGGCAACAUCCAACUCCAAUAUCAUCUUCUCUUCUUCAACUCUUUGUAAUUUUUCUUUCAAGUAAUUGUUUUCUUUUUGAACCAAAUUUAACUUCUCGACAAGAAUUUGUAUGUCGGUUCGAAUUUCCGGUUCAUAUACCUCCUAGAUUAAAAACAAAUAUGUCACGUUGGUCGGCAUAAUUAUCAUAAACAAUAAAUAAAACAAAUAGUUAUAAAAUAUAAUAUAUACCACAUCCGAAUCAUAGACAGGACGAGGAUCGACGGAGGCGGAUACCAAAACCAUCAUACUAUCUAAUAACAAACAAUAAUAGAAGUAAGAAAAUUACACAAGUAUCUAUCUAAAUCAUACAAGUAAGAACUUUUUUAUUUUAAAAAGAAGAUAAGAAGAAGAUACUAACCACAGUGAUGCCGAUGCCGAGAUGGGCGCGGGCGAUCGACGGUGGUGUGGACGGGGACGGGACACGGACGGACCGCCAAAGCUACACAAAACUAGAGGAAAAUGGAGCUUGGACAAGGAGCUUCGAGAGGAGAAAGCUUAAGUGUGGCUUUAGAAUUUCAUCGAACACCUCAUGUGCAUAGGAGGUGAGCUAGAGCACCACAAAGCUCUCCCACGACCGGUCAAAAAAACAGAGCAGUGCACUGCUCUGCUCGCGGUCGGGUGGUAUAUAUAGGCCAAGAAUUGGUCCCGGUUUGUGGACCGAACCGGGAGUGAAGGACAACAAUUGGUCCCGGUUCCAGCCAAAAACCGGGACCAAAGGGGGCAGACGAACCGGGACCAAUGGCCCACGAGGCUCGGUCGGCGCCCUCGCCUCACGAAACGGGACCUAUGCCCCCAUGGGUCCCGGUUCGUAAGUGAACCGGGACUAAUGGAAUUUCAUCAAGUGGACCAAAGCCCUCUUUUCUACUAGUGUAAAGUAUCCAUUCCAAGUUGUCUACGUACCACAUAAUGUUUCCAAGUAGUCCAUAUGCGAGGACGCGGCUAUUCAAAUAGGUUAAUUUAGCCAGCAGGGGUAUACUUCUUCACACACGCUCUCUCCACUUAUCACCAUAUGCACGUCACGCAUCUCGGCAACCUUCAAGCGGAAGCACCGGCGUGGGUGUCGGCCACGACCGUUAACCACACAAGAGCCUAGUCCACGUUUAUCGCCUAUUUGAGACUGGACCCGCAAGGAAGUCCGACCAAAGUUUCCUCAAAUGCCUCAAACGAUGUGCACAGGGUUCCACAAGCCCACCAUCCGGGUGCCACUUGGUACACCAUGCCACUGUGUAUCUACCGCACUGAAGCCUACUCCGUCAAGCAGAGCUAAACACAGUCGCCAACACUUUUCCUACAAACACCAGAAACUAGUUGCAACUCCUGGACAGAGAUCUAGGUGAUUAAUAAGCCGAGAGGGGUUGAGUUAUCGGAGCCAAGUGUGUGGUAGUACCUUGUCUUGGAUAACAUACACAGAACUCAGUUCUUAAGGACGGUCCCAAUGAGACAACUCGCCAUGUACUCCUACAUGGCCUCUCAUCGCUACCUUUACCAAAUCGGAUUCACACAUUUUACUCUCACACAGUAGGGCAUGAACACAAACAUUAUGAUUCAUCAUCCAGAUGGACCAGAACCGACACAACUCUAAGCAUAGUAAGCAAGGAUGGAUGAGUAGGCACAUCAAGGCUCAAGAAGUUGCUACUCAUGCUAAGUGGUUUCAACUAUUUAUUGUGGCAAAAACAUGUCAUGCAAAGGAAUGGUUAAACUACCGAGACAUGUAAGAGAUGAAUCGUUGUUAUCCUAAUGAAGUAAAAGAGAGCAGGAGCGAGAGAGAGUGUUAAUAUCAGUAUGAUCAAGGGGGUUUGCUUGCCUGACAGUUCUGGGGAUACUACUUCUCUUCAUUAGUGUCAACAGUCGCAUCGUCGGAACCAUCGUCUACCGAGAAAGGCAAACAGAAAAAGAACAACAUUUACUUCACGAAAAUGCAACACUAUGAUGCAUGAUCAUGACAUGGCAAUAUGCUGGUGAUUGAGCUAAUGCAUCUAGCAACAAUAUUAAACGAAGGUGGUUUGAACCAAGGUUCAAAGUCAAACUUCAUAUGUGGUUAUUUAAAUGACAUUUAAUUCAAUUGUCCAAAACAGGGGACAUAAAUUGUUCUAACAUGCAUGAAAAUGCCAUAAAAAUAUUCCUUGCAAUUUUCUGAUAAAUUUCAUUUAUAAUUUAUUUUCUAUGAUUUUUUAAAGUUCUUAGCAUUUUCAGGAUUUUCCUAAACAUUUAAAUACCAGAAAAGCUUUACUGCGUCAGCAUUGCAUCACGGUGAUGUCAUCUGGUAAACUGACUCGGUCCUGGUCAAAACUAGCAUUGGGAGCCGCACGUGAGUGACACUGUGGCUAAAAGGGAUUAAUUAAACCUAACUAAAUAUUAUUAAUGGCCCGCACCCACUGGCAGUUACAUAUGGAUUAAAUUAGGGGUGAUUAGACCUUAAUCUACUCUUUGACAAACCGGGCCCACAUGGCAGCGGCUCAGGCGAGCGAGGUCGACGUCGGCGACCAACAGGGCGACGAAGGCACGCCGGAAUCACAGCCUCGGUGUCCAUUCGACGUGUGGACGGGCGAAAUGGGAUCAAGGGGGCUGCAGUGCUUCUGUUGGUGCGAGGUGGGUGGCCAGAGGGGCACCUGACGUACGCUUGCGACGAGCCUAUGCGGCGGCAGAAUUCGGCCGUGGUGGAAAUCACGGCUAGAGCUCGAGCGGGGCAACGGGGUUAGGGGAGGAGCAAGGGGAUAUCACAGAGAGGAGGAUGAGCUGGUCAGAGGGCUCGAGGACGACCGGGACGGAGCGAAUCGACGCCGGGGAGGUUCGGUGGCCGGAGGUUGAAGACGAAUCGGGGAUGGCCUCCUGCAGCGUCGGGCUUCGUGUGUCUUGCUGGAGAGCUUGAGGGGGACGAUACUGAGCUAGUGGGAAGCACAGGGGCGCGAGGGAGCGGCUGAGGGCACGAUACUACGACUGCCGCUCCCGCGAGGUUCGGCCAUGGAGGGGCGAGGGCGCUAGAGAACGGGAAGACUACAGGGAGAGAGGGGAAAGGCAGAGGAGGAGGAGAGCUUCUCCAUGGCGCUUUGGAAGGGCACGGGGAUGCUCUCGAAGCGACCAGCACGAGGUGGUUGCGCCUCCUCUGCGUGCCCCACGCCCUCGUGCCUACUCGCACGAGGUUGAAGAAGGCGGCAUGGGCCUCGUGGGCUGGGAUUUCCACUUGGGCCGGCUACAGGUAAGCUCAGGUAGGCUUUCUACCUUUUUUUAUUUCUGCUUGUUUUCUUUGCUUUAUUUAUUUUGCCUCUGAUUCAAAUUUAAAAUAAUUUUAAAACAUGGCAAAACCCUCUGAAUAUUUUUAUGUAGCUUUAAUGGAUAUUUCCAAAGGCUCAUAAAAUAUUUCAUAGUAUUUUGAAUUUAUAUUCUACCUAUAAGAAUAUAGAUCCAACUCAAAUACAAUAUAAUUUAAUUCAAAUGCCCAAAAUAUUUCCUUCAAAUUGUUCCUAAAUUUUGGUUUGAAUUCUAGUCCUUCCCAAAAUUCUCAAAGCAAAUAAAGGAAAAUUUUGGAACCAAUGAAUAUGAUUUCUAGGGUGCUUUGCCCUUCCUUUAUUUUGAAAUUUUGAGGCUUAUAAAAAUUCUCAAUUCAGGUUUCAUGAAAAUUUUAUCAUGAUGCAAUCAAUGUUGAUGCGACUAUUUUACAAGCAAAUAUAGGGAUGUGACAUCUCACCCCCACUAAACAAGAAUCUCGUCCCGAGAUUCACGCGUAGGGUAAGAGGGAAAAGGGACACUAAACUAUCACAAUCUUCAUGAUCCAAUUGCUCUUCUUGAAGAUGUUGAUUCAUUGCAUCAAGUUGAUAUUGAUAUCUUUGCCUUGAGGCCUUCAUCCAACACGAUGACAAAAAGAAAAUGAAAACUCUACAAGAUUCGAUCUCCUUGAAGAUCGAGCAACUCCUAAUCAACUCAUCGAAUGAGACGUAUAAACAUCUCUUGAGCUGAGACACAAAACACAUAAUAGGAAUGAGGAAAUGAGGCAUAUGAUAGAGGUUCAAUUGGUAGGCAACAAUUACACUCUUAAAAUAGAUGGUGACGAGGUUUCAAAGUAGUGAGGAGUUAAAUUGCCCUUCAUACCAUAACGGGGCACCUUAGAAAGGUGACUCGUAGAGUUAUUUCCUUAAGUGGCAAAAAGAAUUACUUUUGAUCCAGAGAUCAUUAAAACUCUUCAUACCAGGGUGAGGCAAUUCACAAAUGGUCGUUUGAAGGGGUUCAGAGAAAUGGCAUACUCGGCUUGGAAAAGAAAACUAGAGUUAUAGAACAACUUGGCAAACGGAAGACACAUUCCAAUUGUUACCGAGAAUAUAACCCAGUGUCUGAGCGUUGUUUCAUUAGAAUUCACUCGGUCUAUUAUGGAAUAAGAGAGUUGUUUCAUCUUUGUUCUAUAGAAACAUAAAAAUGAAUAGGAAGUAAAAUGAUUCAACUUUUCUUUAUGUUUUCGUAAAUAUAUUUAUUUCUAUUAUUAAAGGGGAUCUGCCGUCGUGAUGGUUCGACCUCCCCUCCCACCCUCCAUGGCAGGCGCUAGAAAAAUCAUCCGAUCCCGCACGCACAGAGAAACCCCAAAAAAACAUCCCACGCUCCCACACAUUGUCGCUAAAAAAGAAGAGAAUAAACUGCCACCCCGCCUCUCCCAGAUCCACCGAUCCUCGUUGCCCGCACAGACACCGCUAAACUGCCAUCACCUCUUCCCGAUCCAUUGCUCCCAAUCUCGUCUCUCUCCUGCCAAAUAUUGUCGUCACCAGAUAGAGGAAAGAGCGCAACGGAGGCACCGAGGAUGAGGGGGCGUCUCUCGCUCGUUUCUGCUCACGAGGAUCAUGCCAACCGUCACCCCCACCGAUGUCGCCGCCGUGGCGGACGAGGCGAGCCCCAAGCUGCGGGACACCGCGGCGGACGCACGCUGGCACAACUCAAAAAAGCAAGUACAUGACAAUUAGGUAAAAUUGUAAAUUGUUGUGCAUGUAUGACAGUGUCAUUGUCAAAUAAGGCCGGUGGGAGGAUUUGUAAAUCGAUUUCAUAGUCUUGUUAUAGGUUGGAAUUAGGUUAUGUAAACAUUUUGCACAACAGCUUCUGUCCAGAAGAAGUUUUUUCUGUGCUGGCUUGUUGUCCCAUUUUUAUUCUAGGCAACAUUAGCACAAGUAGCUUAUUUUCGUAUGUGGUUUUAAAUUUUCUUUCAUUGUUCCCAAUUCUCCUUUCGCUAGGAUGGAAGUUCAUGUAAUCUUCAGUAUAGCAAUAUUAUGAAUGGGAGUUCCCGGUGUGCAAUGGCAGUGAUGUCACCCGUUCUCGUUUGAAAAGUAGAUAUUGUAAUAAUAUAGAACCAAGUAUCAUAUUAUAGUUAUUUGUGGCUAUUUUUUCCAAUGUUCAAAAGUAUCUUUGAGGAAGAAUAUUCAUUUGGAUUUAGAUCCAUACAAAGAAGGGGGUGGGAAGAAAGGGAGGAGGUUAUGGUGCCUUAACUUCUUGUUUUAUAGGGCCAAAGAGAUAUAAUGUUUAAAAUAAUAGCUUGGGUGCCAAUAAAUCAACGAUAAAUACAUAUUCUAUGUUCUAGAAUAAAAUGAUUAUUAUUUACUUGUUUAGUAUGUAUCAAUGUGCCCUCUAUGAUAGUAGCGGUGGAUGUGAAAAAAGUUCGACAAUAUCAGUUGAUGUGUAUAAUGAUUCAGAAAAACAUAUAGAUGUUAAACCACUAUAAUAUUUAUGCCCGGUAGCAACACACUGGCAACUAACUAGUUUAGGUAAUAACUAAAUGGACCAUCGUUGGGUGUUGCCUCCUUCUGGAUGUACGAAUCUAAAUGCCUCUAAAUGUUGAUGGAAGCUAUGUUCCUGCUGACGGAUCAGUGGGAGGAGGUAUGGUGCUAAGUUCUGACCGAGGUGAAAUUAUUUUCACAACGAGAUUCACACAUGCGACAAUAGCCUCCAUGCUGAGUCUGUUGCUUGCAAGGAGGGACUUGAGCUCGCGCUGCACCGCACUAUGCUGCCCAUUGCGGUUGAGAUGGACAACGCUGAAGCCGCCGGGAUGGAAUGCCACUUCGGUGGACUUGUUGAGGAGAUCAAGAGGAUGGUCGCUCCCGGCCCUAGGGAGAUUUCUAUUAUCGCUAUUAGUCGCUCGUAAAAUAAAGUUAAUCAUGAGCUUGCUGCAUAUGAUCAAAGUACUCCUCGUACUGCAGUUUGAUUGCGCUCGGGUUUGAGCAACAUUAUUGUAAUGGCACUAGCUGAUUUGCCUCCUUAAAUUAAAUUAAUAGAAGGGAGUGCCUAGAACUCAUGUAGAUGAGUUAUAGUUUGGUCUCAUUCACCUGACAUCAUUUGACAUCAUCUUUGUUGUUAUAGCUUCGUUUUUAUUGAAUGAGCCAUGUCUAAAAUUGCUCUUUCUUUCCUUGGCCUGGCCCAUUUUAGUUGUGUCCCUAUUAGUUGUUGUAAAAAUAACAUAACAAAAAGACACGCAUACUCUUCUACAAAGCGCAUCCACAUAUAUGCACCGGUCAAAUGCCCAUCACACGUACGUACACACAUACAUCAGGGCAAUAUACAUGCAUGCACAUGCACGCUCACGCGACUGGCCGGCCAGUGCACAGUUGCACAAUGGGCACAUGCAAACAGGAUACAUAUCAUGUAUAUUUGUCACUACUGUGGGUACAUGCAAAGAUAAUUGCAUCAAUCACUUUGUUAAUAUUUUAUCAGUCACAUCAGAUUUAAAAAAUUGCGGUUGCGACGUGACCAUGAAAAAGUGCAGUUGCGAUCAGAUUCUACAAACAUGCGGUUGCGACCCGACCAUGAAAAUAUGCAAUUGUGAUGACAUUUAAAAAUUUGCAGUUGCGACCCGAGAUUGGAAACAUGCAAUUACGACCCUACCAUGAAAACUUGCAGUUGCGACGGUAUUUGAAAACUCGCACACGUGACCCGGCAUUGAAAACAUGCAGUUGCGGUGACAUUUAAAAACUGGCAAUUGUGACAUGACCAUGCAAAAAUGCAGUUGCGACCAGAUGCUACAAACAUGCGGUUGCAAUCUGACCAUGAAAACAUGCAGUUGCGACGACAUUUAAAAAUUUGCAGUUGCGACCCGACGUUGAAAACAUGCAGUUGCGGUGACAUUUGAAAACUGGCAAUUGUGACAUGACCAUGCAAAAAUGCAGUUGCGACCAAAUCCUGCAAACAUGCGGUUGCGACCCGACCAUGAAAACAUGCAGUUGCAACGACAUUUAAAAAUUUGCAGUUGCGACCCGGCGUUGAAAACAUGUAGUUGCGAUGACAUUUGAAAACUGUGACGUGACCAUGCAAAAAUGCAGUUGCGACCAGAUCCUGCAAACAUGCAGUUGCGACCCGACCAUGAAAAGAUGCAGUUGCAACGACAUUUAAAAAUUUGCAGUUGCGACCCGACAUUGGAAAGAUGCAAUUACGACCCUAUCAUGAAAACUUGUAGUUGCGACGACGUUCGAAAACUUGCAGUUGUGAUGAAAACAUGUAGUUGGGACGACAUUUUAAAACUUGCAAUUGCGACCCGACGUUGAAAACAUGAAGUUACGACCAAACCUUACAAACAUGCAGUUGCGAAGUGACUUUAAAAAUAUGCAGUUGCGAUAACAUUUAGAAACAUGCAGUUGCACCCUUUGAAAGCAUCCACUUGUGAUUGUGACUCCAUGUAAAAAAAUAGAGUUGGGACCCCUUUGAAUAUAUGCACUUGUAGGCCCCCUUUUUCUUAUAAACGUACAACUAUGACCCCUUGCGAAACUGUAAUGUGUGUAGUUGCACGAUCUCUCCUUAAUACAUGUUUUUGGACGAUGAAAAACACAAAACUGUAAGCAUGGACAAAAAAAUCCAUAAUAAUUAUUUUACCAAAAAAUUAUCUACAAAAUUCAAACAAUGAAAAAGCACCUACCAAAAAUUAGAACAUCUACACAUGAAAAAGGAAUAAAAAAUAAUAAAUAAGACCUGAUGCAUCAAACCAUGACAAUGCUAGCCUAAAAAAAUUGAAAAAAAGAGAAGAAAUAACUUUUUUUUGAACAAAACAUAAGAAAUAACAAGGAUAGUUUGAAUAAAAAAAGAAAAAGAAAAGGUCCACCAAACCAGGGGCUGCCGCAUACACACAGUAUAAGUUAGAGGGGUGGUUGCCUGAUCAAUAGAGAGCGGCAUAGUCUUUUCGUAUGCGGCAAAAUGCAGAUUGACCAGAAAAGGCCCAUAUGCCCAUAACCCAACAACAUAGUCUUUUCGUAUGCGGCAAAGUUCAAUUACGUUUUAGAAGAAUGAAGUAAAAGAAUUGAAUGAAAGGAUCCCCCGAUCCAUCUUUUUAUUAAUGAAGCAAAGUAGUCUCCGAUUACAGCCAAAGCAACCACUAGUUCCAAACAGACUUAAACUAAAAACACAGAAUGAACCGACUCCAGUCACAGAUAAUAGCAGCAACCUAUUACAGACCGGGUACUUCUAGAACAAACUGUGGCUACUACUCUACGUCAGGCUACAGAGUCACCCAGGCGAUGCGAAGAAGCUCCCCUCAGCACUUGUCCAGCUUACUGAUGAACUGCCGAAGAACCACGUCAUGUGUGAUGUCGUAGAGUACACUCCAUUAUUGAAGAAAACUUUAAAGUUUCGCAAGCACACGCAGUCUAGACUUUUCCAAAAAUGACCCUGAAAAUAAAACUCAUUUCUUAGUCUUCAAAUACUGCACAAGAAGGCAGCAGCAAUCAUAUUCUGGACCGGUUUUUUUUAUGAAUCUGCCAUAAGGGUACAAACAUAUUUAAAGCAUGAAUUAAUUGGCAUUUGAAACAAUCAGCAAAUAAUUUCCAAAUGCACUUAGCCACCACACAAUCAAAAAACAGAUGUUGUACAGGUUCCAUCUCACUACAAAAUAAGCAAGUAUGAUCAUGAACAGAAUGAAGUAAAAUUAUUUCCUAACGGCGACAUUUUCCUUGUUAUAUAGGAGCUCAGCUUGGGCUGGAAUAUGGAUCGAUCUCGCGAGCAGUAAUCAGCCUAAUUAUAGCAAUUUGUGUACACUCUUUAUAUAAUCUGAUCUGAAAAAGGUGAUCUAGAGGAAAAGGGCAUGGAAAACGCUGUCCACUUCAAAGCCGGACGUCGGGACGUGAACACGUCAGAGCAGAGGCAUGAAACCAGCCAUAUUCAGCACGGACGCGUGAAGCUUGCAUGCAUGCAAUGCUUUCCAAUUUCCAGCUCCGUCGAUCAAUGUUCGCUCUAGACGGCUGCUACAUAUACCCCGUACUGCUCGUCCCAUAGCUCAUCAAGCAGCUCGAUCGACCGCACCACUACCGUAGUACCGUGCCUCAGAGCUCAUCACUGGUCAGGUACCAAGAAGACAUAAAAAUGGACGCCCAGAGCAAGGAGGUCGACGCCCUUGUCCAGAAGAUCACCGGCCUCCACGCCGCCAUCGCCAAGCUGCCCUCGCUCAGCCCGUCCCCGGACGUCGACGCGCUCUUCACCGACCUGGUCACCGCGUGCGCGCCCCCGAGCCCCGUGGACGUGACCAAGCUCGCCCCGGAGGCGCAGGCGAUGCGGGAGGGCCUCAUCCGCCUCUGCUCCGAGGCCGAGGGCAAGCUGGAGGCGCACUACUCCGACAUGCUCGCCGCCUUCGACAACCCGCUCGACCACCUCGGCGUCUUCCCCUACUACAGCAACUACAUCAACCUCAGCAAGCUCGAGUACGAGCUCCUCGCGCGCUACGUGCCCGGCGGCAUCGCCCCGGCCCGCGUCGCCUUCAUCGGCUCCGGCCCGCUGCCGUUCAGCUCCUACGUCCUCGCCGCGCGCCACCUGCCCGACACCGUGUUCGACAACUACGACCUGUGCGGCGCGGCCAACGACCGCGCGAGCAGGCUGUUCCGCGCGGACAAGGACGUCGGCGCCCGCAUGUCGUUCCACACCGCCGACGUCGCGGACCUCACCGACGAGCUCGCUACGUACGACGUCGUCUUCCUGGCCGCGCUCGUUGGCAUGGCCGCCGAGGACAAGGCCAAGGUGAUCGCGCACCUUGGCGCGCACAUGGCGGACGGGGCGGCCCUCGUCGUGCGCAGCGCGCACGGGGCGCGUGGGUUCCUCUAUCCGAUCGUCGAUCCCCAGGACAUUGGUCGAGGCGGGUUCGAGGUGCUCGCCGUGUGUCACCCCGACGACGACGUGGUGAACUCCGUCAUCAUCGCACAAAAGAGCAACGACGUGCACGAGUAUGGACUUGGCAGCGGGCGUGGUGGACGGUACGCGCGAGGCACGGUGGUGCCGGUGGUCAGCCCACCCUGCAGGUUCGGCGAGAUGGUGGCAGACGUGACCCAGAAGAGAGAGGAGUUUGCCAAGGCGGAAGUGGCCUUCUGAUUGCUGCGAGGUACACCGCUGCUGAAUCGUACGUGGUAAUUUUUCUACUCCUUCUCUUCCUACCACCACCUAUCACCUAUGUAUGCAUUUUAAGUCGUGUGUUAUUUGUAUCCAAUAAUGUAAGUGAGAUGUUUACACGCGCAUAUCUAUCUUGUAUACUCGGUCUCUGAAAGGCAUGGCAGAUCAGGAUAGUGUGCAAAGGAACAGCAAGUGUUGUUGCAGGUGUAUGUGUUUUGUUUUUUGUUUUUUUUGUGCGGGGGUUGAAGGUGUAUGUGUUGGGAAUAAGAUUAUUUUUGUUCACAAAUACGAUGU
rnacentral:lncRNA from 1 species